rnacentral:lncRNA from 1 species
GACCCCAAUUCCCGGCUCAUGGGGAAGCAAAAAAUCCAUCUCCUACAUGGAUUUUUUUUUCCAUGAAAUAUGAGAAUUUUAUUCUUGAAAUUGCCAUUUCCAAUCUCUUUCCUUUGAAAACUCCAACAAAACAAGAAGUUUUUUUUUUUAUUUUUCUGUUGACCAUACUUUUCCUCCUCUUCCCAUGAACCACACAAGUCCAACAUGGGUGCAAGUUUAAAAGGUGUCGUGCAUAUGCCAAUUCUCUCUGUCUCUUUAUACUAAUUUUAAAGAUAUAGGGUUUUAGGCUAAGCAUUGGUUUUGGCAUUUAAAAGUGAUGGUUUCUUACUUUCUUUCUUCAAAAAAAGGUGGUGGUGUCUUCAGAAUUAGGUAAAAAACAUAGCAAUGCAGUAAUAAUUUAAAACCACUCAUUGUUAUGUUCAACAUCACUAUUAUAGCAAGAGUUUCCCAUAAAGCAACAUCCUUGAUGCUUCAAGCUAGGGCCUAGCUUGCACAAAAUGAGCUGCUCAUUUUGGUCAAUUGUGCCACUAAUAGAUGUUCUACAAGGGUACCAAGUGUGAGGUCUAUUGAAGUGCCUAGCACUUCUAUCUCUAAAAAGCCCAAGAAGGGAAUGCUUCAGUCAAAUACAAAAGACAUGUAUAUACAGUUAUACACAUAUUUACACAUGCACACACACCCAACCAGCACACAAAUGCUGAGAACCAUAUUAAGGAAUAGUAUUCAUGAUUGUUUACAUUAAACAAUGUUUUUUUCCACAUAAUGAUAUUUUUUAGGGGAAAAAAGAGUCCUAAUAAUUUACUAAAGCUGCCCAAAAUAGGUUGGAAACAAUCUUAUCUAGCACUCAGAAUGCUGAGGAAUUAUAAACAAUUCCAGCUGUGCAUCCCUGAUAAAACACUCCAAAACUUUGUGCCAAAAUUGAGACUGUGACAAUUGACACUUUAAGUUGAUGUACAUGGGAUAUUGUGUCUUCGAAUUGCCAAAAGUGCCAUGUUUUAUCAUGUCCAAGUAUCCAAUUCUGUUACUUGGAGUCCAAAAUUUCUUAAACUGAGGUUUCGAAGUAACAAAGUACCAAUACAUACAGUGGGUCCAACAAGGAUGAGAGCAAGUUGAGAGAAUUCAUUCUAGUAAAAGUAAUCUGAGGCUUUAUUAGUCCCAUUUAACCGAUAGUUUUGAUUUAAAGAAACAAAACAAUCACUUCAACAGUGCAAUGUACCACCACUGUGCUUAGUUCAUUUGGCCUUCAAAAAUUAUUUAAUGAGUCCAAUAUUGCGUUGUUUCCAACAUCGGAAACCCAUAAUUGAGAAGCAAAGUUAUGGAGUUAAGCAAAACAGUAAUACUAAAGUCACAUGCAUUGUAUUAAAUGCAUCAAACCAGCCUUGCAGAAGCACAUAUUCUUGCUAACAUUCAUGCUACAAAUGAAGGGUCAUGUGCCUGAGUGGAGUGCCCCACUAUGGGCAGAAAUUCCAUUGGAGAUCUCCAAAUUAGCCCAGUUGUGUGCUUUCAGAGAAUUGGUCUUCAGCUCUUAACCAGGGCCAGUUUAGAUACUCUGUUGUACCACUCUACCUGACUGAACUUCCAAACCCUCAUGGAAAGCCUCAUCUAUUCGUUCUUAUAUGUCCAUCAGGGCCUUCAUGAAUCCCCUUUGACAAGCAUUGAGGUUGUCUUUGUCCAUCAAUGCAUACAAAUAUCCUACUUCAAACAACUACUUAACAAUUUAUAUCUUUUAUUAUGUUUCAAUGGGAAUAAAAUCACACACACACUCUAAACUUCCCAUCUUUCACAACCACUUCCAAAUUUCCACUAUGCUCUAAAGUCUAAACAGCAUUCCACUGCUGCCAGCAGUUAGCCAACACGAGACAUGGACAGGCAACACCAAGAUGCUCAGCAUCUAGCUAGGUUCCAUUCAUACAUCUCAUCCAAAAAUUUGAUAGAAUUACUAGGGCAAUUCAGGCAUCAGCCCUUGUGGAAACCAAGACACAAACUAUUUAACAAAUAGUAAUAAACCACAGAAGAAUAACUCACCUGUACAUAAGAUCAAACAUCUCUUCAACCAGCUUCUUCAAGUUCUCAUCAAACGUAUUGAUGCGCUUGUUCCUCGCUCUCAGGAUGGGAUCGGGAUACUCCACAAUCUUUAACGGCGACUCGAAGCACAAAUCAGCAGCUGGAGUCCAAAAUCAUACAUAAUUGCGAAAUAAAGCAUCAGACAGACAUAAGAAUUUGAUGCGCUAGAAAGAGAGAAAAUUUUGGAUAAAAAUCCAAAAAGAAAAGUUCAUGAUGGCCCAAGGGAGAACCAGAUAUCGAUAUUUCGUCCGAAUACAAACCAUAUACUCGUAUUUAUCUCCAAAAAGAAGGGGAUGCGGCUUACGUGAAGCGAAGUCGCCUUCUUGGAAGGAGAAGCCGCGCCGAGCCUGCGCCGAGACCUCCAUGAGCGGGGAACUCAGAGCAAGUGGUUUGGAGCAGAAGCGGCGGAAGCUAAGCGAUUUUCCGGUGGCGGAAAAGCUCGAACGGCAGGAGAGGAGGGGGAGGAGGGCGGAGAAAGAUAUGGCGGUCGAGGCCUGCAGCCGCCCUGCCAUUUGGUUUUUGUUCCCCUUUGCUGUUUCCUGUUCUCACCUUAUGUUCUUCCUGAAAGAAUGGUGCAGCUGGCCGACCAUUGGGCCUCGUAUUGCAUGCACUAGAUGCAAUUCGACCGCAUCAUAUCCCUCGGUGGAUUACACGCCACGCUACCCCUUCCAUUUCACCAAUUUCCGAUUGCGCGCUAUACACCGUUCAUAUGCUCCAUGAUUUGCCCUGUUCACUUGCAGCUGGUGCAUGCAAUAAUUUCUCGUCUAUUAGGCAUCGGCGAAUACGUUAACCAUCCGGUUUGGAGAGGUUAUUGGCCAGAACGGUUCUAACCUACAUCAUUCAAAAACAAAUCAGUACAUCAUUCAAAACAAUAAAUUUUUUUUAUUUAAAAUAAUAAAAAUUAUUAAAUAAUCAAUCAUAAUUAUUAAUAAUUUUUUUUUUCAUUUAAAAUUUUCAACCAAAUUUAGAUGGCAAUGCAACUUAUUUCAAUAAUAGAUGAUUUUCUAAUUUAUUAUUGGAUGGUAUAUAGUAGAUAUGAUAGAAUUAUUUUAAUCAAUAAUUUCUUCUUAUCUCUUAUCAAAAAUAAUAAUAAUUUCUUUCUAUUCUCCUCACUCCAUCAUCCACACAUCCAACUCCAUCCCACUAUGAAAAUUUAAUGGUUGAAUCAGAUUCACCGUAUCAUUUAAGGCUAAGCCAACCAAAGCUCAACAUGUAACAAAUUGAAAUGAGGGGAAAAAAAUUGCCAAUAAAAGAGAAUGAAAUUAAUCACAAUUUUUUUGGAUCGUAACCCCUUUUCUAUUUACUGAUGUAAAUGAAAAAAAUCAUAUUUUUUCAUUUGAGGAAACCCUCUCCCCAUUUUGGCGGAUACUUUCUCGACCUCUAUUAGUCUCAAAAAAAAGAAUACUCCUUUUGAGUACUGCUCCUCUAGUGAGAGAUGACAUCUUCUUUUCUUCUCUCGUGUCUCCUCUGAAGGAUAUCUCCACCUUGUCUUCUUUAAGGUCUAUUCAACCCCCUGCAACUAUCGCUGAUGGCUGAGUCCUCAAUACGAUAAUUUUGAGCUUCUAUAUAUUGUCCACUUUAGAUUUAUGUAUAUCAUCUAUGUCCUUCUAAUCCAACCCUAGCCCCCACGCCCCACCCAGGCAAAAAGCCUGGGCUCUUUGCAAGCCAAGCUCAUGAUAUCGGGAUUUAACAUAAUCAGAAACUGAAGUAGAUGAAUACUAAGCAAUUUAAUUGUGUCUAAAAGAAUUUGGACCUGUACUAAGAAGAAGGGGAAAAAAAAAAUGGAACUUUGAGCGGUGGGGAGCCCCAAUGCAUUAUGAGGCUGGAAUUGUUGCAGGUGUAAGUUGUUCACUAAAGUAGUGCCUCCAUUCAUGUGAAUUUAGGUAGUGAUAAAUGGAUCGAUUUGGCAAUAGAUAAACUAUUGAUAAGGGGGAAGAAAAAGAUGGUUUGACGGCUUGAGAUGAUGAAGAAUUUAUGUGGAUAUAUGAUUGAUCGCCGAGCAACAGUCAAUGAAAGUUAAAUCAUGAUCUUCUAUGGUACAUAUUAUACACUAUAGAGAGUUGUACAGUCUUAAAUAGUCCUCGGAUAAUUUCUUUUAGAGAUGGAUGGCUCUUCUUCAUCUCUGUGAUGUACCAUGUCUUGUGGUGAAGAUUCUUAUUUCAUAUUCUUAGGAUGAAUAAAAAUAGCUCUUUUUUAUAUGAAUGAUAUGGUGGCCAUUCAAGGCUAUACAAAUUAGUAGUACAAAAGGAGCAUCACAAAGGAUCCAUACUCAAAAAAAGUUGUUAGAUAUGGCAUCAAGAAUUUGAAAAAAAAAUUCUUUGUUGGUGAAAGGUUUAAGGGAGCCAAUGGUGUUGCAUUUGAGCUACAUUCCAUAGUUAUGUUGCUGCAAAUAUGAGGGUGCAAGUGACACACACACACACACACACACACAUAUAUAUAUAUAUAUAUGUGUGUGUGUGCGNNNNNNNNNNNNNNNNNNNNAAAAUAUUUAUUUCACAUCCACACCUCUUUUUUUUUUUUUCUUUCUGUAUUUUUGCAUCUGUAUCUAUCCAUCAAAAUAGUUAAAAAAAUCAUUAGUUUAAAAUUGAAAUAACUCAAAUACUUUUGUUGGAUAAAGAUAUAAAGAAAUAUUUAUAAGAGAUACAUGCAAAUGAUAUUUUUCUAAAGGUAUUCAUAUAAUUUUAUAUAUUUAAAAUGAUAUCAAUACAUGCAAAAAAAUCCUUAGAUUUUUGCACGAAUACUUUUAAAUAUUGAAAAUAUAUGAAUAUCCUUCCAAAGUAUUUAUAUGUAUGCAUUUAUAAAAUUAUUUUUUGUAUGAAUACUUUUAAUGCAACGGUUUAACUUGCAUCAUCAGCCAUAUUAUUUUUUUAAAUUUAAAAUUAAAUAAAAAAAUAAAAUUAUUUUUUACUCAUAAAAUAAAUAAUAGGUUAACGGAUCUUCCAUGAGUACAACCGUAGCAAAUAAGCAUGACCAUUGCAUUUUAUCAUUUAUCAGUAGGUAGGGGUGUAAAUACCUCAGGUUGACUUGUGAUCUAAUUUGAUCCAAUUAGAACCAUUUUAAAGGACUUUUGGGCUGCAUCGAAUUCUAGAAACCAGACUGUUCCAUUUUUCGGAUGGAUUUCGUUUUAAAGAAAAAAUUUGAUCCUUUGUUUCACCUUUGAUUUUGCCCUAUCAUUUUCGGCAACCAAAUCAGGGUGGGAAAAGGAGAGUGCUUGUACAAAUCUGAUGGCAACAGAAAUUACAUCUCAAACAUACAUAUCUCGGUUGAAAAGAUCAGAGCCGUCCAAAAUAAUUAAUUUUUAGAACACUUUAUCCUCUUCGCGAAAUCGGUCACGUCUCUGAUCGAACCGCCUCAGUCACCCAGGGUCAAAAUCAGCUGAAAGACGUCAGAACAAAAACGUCUAGCAAACCAAACUCGCGUUUGCCACGUCACCAACAGAUCAAGAAACUCUUAUAUAAGACAUCCAAGCCCACUCUUUAUGGCUACGUGUUUGUUCGUAAUUUCCCGAUUGUACGUUUAUGUUCCGUUUCUCAGCGGUGGUCUUCACCCUCCUUUCCCACCGCCUUUUCUUCCCUUCCUCUUGUCUCGGUCCAUCCCUAUGCGUAGCUUUUUAUUAUUUUCUUUUCCUCCUCUCCUAUCGUUACGGAAUACGAAGACGCAUCAAUCGAGAGAUUCCCAUCAAGAAAAGUUGCUCGAGAGAGAGAGUGGGAUUGGGAAAGGAGAAGGGGAAUCGCAAUGCUUAGGGUUGGAGCGAGGAGGCUGCUAGGGUUAGGGGUAGGGCAUCGGGUCUCGGCCCCUCCAGCGGCCGACGCCGGCUCCACGGCGGCGGUUGUGGCGGUGAGGGGGUACCACGAGAGGGUGGUGGAUCACUACAAUAACCCCCGGAACGUGGGGUCCUUCGACAAGAACGACCCGAUGGUGGGGACGGGGCUGGUGGGAGCCCCGGCCUGCGGUGACGUGAUGAAGCUCCAAAUCAAGGUCGACGAUGAAUCCGGCAAGAUCGUCGAUGCCUGCUUCAAGACUUUCGGCUGUGGCUCCGCCAUCGCCUCCUCCUCCGUUGGUCGAUUCCUAUUCCUCACUUUUUGUUUUUCUCCCAAUUUUUGAAAUUUAUCGUUUGGUUGAUUCCUGAUGCGAUGACUUUAAUUAUCUCCAAUUAAUGUCUUAAAAAAAAAAAACUAAAAAGCUGUUUUUUCUCGAAUCAAUGCUGAAGGAGAACCUGAUUGACACGAACUUUUGUGGGAAUUGUGGUGUCUGGAAAUUGAUAAUGUUCAGUAGUAACGUGACCGCACUGAGGCAAAAUUACUGUCGAUUUUAUGAUCAUAUCCUGUUGUAUUUAAUAGGAAUAGGUUUUUGAUAUGAGAAAUUAGGUUGAAUUCGGUCAAUUUGAUGUAUCUGAUUACUGAUGUUCGAACAUCUGGGUAUGAUCUGCUGAAUUUUCAGAAUUUAUUGGAGGAAAAAAGCAAUAGAAUUCAUAAAUAAACAAAAUUUAUAGGAUUUAAAUUACAUCUUUCCAAUACUGUAGCUUCCUAAAUAAAAUGACGACAAAAUAGCUUGCCUAGCUAGAUAUAUAUAUAUUUUUUAAUCAAAAUGUUACAGUGUUUCUAAUUUCCUGUUGAGGCAGGCCACGUUCUACCUGACUGUGGAUUAUGAUAUGUCAUUGGACUAGGUUGCAAUCCAAUUAGCAAUUCUAUAGAAUAUCCACUUUAUGCCUUUCAGUAUAUACUUUGUGUUUGCUGCACUGUUUUCUUGUCUGUCAAUUUCCUUUUUGGGGCCGUUGUAUGAGGUUUAUUUGAAAAUAUUCCAUAAAAGUUUAUGGGGCAUGGUAUAUUGUUAGCUUAAGAUAUCGGCAAAUGCUUCUUUUUGCCAAAGGCUUGGAACAUUAUUUUAUGUAGGGUUUUACUCCCAUUGUAGAACGUAUGUGUUUAUCCAUCUUUUAGUUGCCUUCAUUGAGUUGAUAGGUGUUACUUAUCGUCUAUGAUUUCGCUUUGUUGCAGCUACUGAGUGGGUAAAAGGGAAGCAAAUGGAGGAAGUACUAUCCAUCAAGAACACGUAAUUAUUUUUCUUUCACUGCUGUUUUGUUAUAUUUCUUUUACUCAUCUAUCAUUCCCUGUUGUUCUUUUCUUAUGCAUUAUGCUUCAGUCUGGUUAAUCCUUUAUGAUGUGGGUUUCCUUCAAUCCAUUUGCAUAGUUGCUUUGCUUCGCAUCUCCUGUCAUUUAUGUCUUAGUGGUACAUUGGAUAUUAUUUUUGCCAAACAAAGGAAAUAUAAGGAUCUGGAACUCUUAAAAGAGAUCCAAAAUUGACUUUGUUGUUAUAGGUUUAACAUUUUGGUGCUUGUAGCUAGUAAUUUAUCAUGUGCCGUUGUUAGGAGGGGAGAGAGGAUGCAAAGGGGUGCCCCUGCUCUUAUUAUUGGAUCAUAUAUGGUUAAUUUACAGACAGCCAUAUAUACCAUGCAAAGGGGUUCCUGUGCUUUCUUCUGGGUUCCUGUGCUCUUUUGCUUCCAUUCUUUUUGUUGCAACAAAAAAAUUUUUUGGAGGAGUUUUACUACCUACAUUGCCAUCAAUCUAGCUCCAACCAUCAUUUCGCUUGCAAGAAAUAAUCCAAGUAGUGAGAGAGGAUGUUAUUUCAUAAGUAGCAUUGGUUGAUUGAAAAUAAAUGAGUGUAAUGUUGAAUGCAUAUUAUUUAGGCAUCAUGUUCGGCUAGAUGUCCCAUCUUGUUAUUAGUUUCCAUUAGGAGCAAGUGGUUUUGACACUUUGCCAUUUUCACGCAUGUGGUCAAGGCCAUUUUUGUUGAUUUCACAAAAGGUUCUCCCGUAAUCACUUACCUCUUGCCUUCUGAAUGAAACAAACUAUUUGCUUAGCCGCUAGUAAUAAUGAAAAACAGCACCUUUUUACUAAGUGUUAAGUUAUUCAUGAGAGAGAAGGUUAACUAGCCAAGUUAACGUAUUUACUAACCCAAACAGCACCUAAUUACCAAAGACAGCCUAAAGGAACCUCAUGAAUGUAAUUUGUUGGAAUGCUAAGUAUUAUAAUAUGAAAACAUUCCUGGCUCUUGUUUCCUUGAAUAGCUGGAGAUAUUUCUCUCCUGAUAGAAUGGUCGGCUUUGCCUUGUGGUAUAUGCGAGGCAUAUGCUGCAGAAUGCUCAUUUUUUAAUGUUAUAACUACUGAAUAAACUAAUGGAAGCAACCAGAUGGUAUUCAGUUGCAGAGAAGAGUUGUUAUUAGCUUGAUAGAAAAUAUCGUACCUUCUCUAGUUCUAUACUUUAGACUUUCGCUUGUCAUUGAGCAAUUUCCUCUUUGUUGGAGGAUGAUAUAGAUGUCACCAUAAUGUUCAGUAGAAAUUGAAUUAGAAAUUUUUGUUUGCCCAAAGAACUCAAUUAAUUUCGUUUUUUUUUGGGGGGGGGUGGGGGGAAAUGGAUCAGAAAACAAUUGGAGUUUCAUGAGCCUUAUUGACUAUGUCUAAAUCCUUAUUGGUCACUUCAAAUGACUGCUCAUUAAUCAAUUUCUAUUGGUAUGAUGGAGAUGUGGUGGUGGAAAAACGAAAUGUCAUUCGUAAGCAUGUUUUUUCCCUUAAUGUCAUGUUGGACUUUCACAUGAUAUGUCAUGGUUGUGCAUGUGAAUUUUUUUGGCCCAUUCAACAUCUUUUAAGCUUUGUAGAAAGCAAGAUGGCAUCAAAUCUUAUGGACAUCCAUACAAGAUGCAAUCAUGCUUGAACUCAAAGGUGUGAAACUUGCGUAGUGGUUGAUUUUACUGUUAUUUUCUAUUCAAAACAAGUAGAACUCUAGAGAUUGUCUAAUUUGAAGCCUUCCAAUGAAAUUAUGCUAUCAAUUGCUACAAUUUCUUAUUUGGAAAUCUUACAUGUCUUUGUGCAGAAGUGCAUUAUAAAGCUGUAUGGACUAAAAUAAUUUCUUUUUUGGAUAAUGUUGAUUAAUACAUAAUUACAACAUAGUUUUUUUUUUUUGGGUAUGUGAUAUUACUUCGCACAAUGUGGUUAAUGGAAGGUUAUAAGAGAGAAAAAUGAAACAUGCAUGAUAAGAGCAGGAGAGUAGAUAUGGAGUUUGGACAAAAAUAAUUGAGGGACCUCUUCUUAUUAUCACAUAGGGAAAGCCUAAUUGGUCUCCAUGUGUAUAAAGUACAUAUCUUGAAGGCUAACCGGCCUAAAAUCUCCUUGUUGAAGGUUACUCUCCUAACCUCAUCGAAUCUUUCUAUAGACUCAAACUCUGACUCCUGUGCUUCAUAUGUUGCAUCUUGUCACUAGGCAUCAAGUGGUGUUCAGCAUUGUGAACUCCAAUGUCCAGUCAGUGGCAAUGAUUUGAUAGAUCUAAGCUUAAGACUCAAGCGAGGCCAUCAGAAUCAUAGGUUUCAGAGGCUUGAUCUGGCCAAGCUCUCAAGGUCUAUGGUGGAUUUGGAAUUAGUUCUGAACCUUAUAUUUGUCUCCAAUUUGAAGUUGAGAGCUAGAUUCACUUUUGGGCUUUGGAUCCAGGGUGACUUGUCACGGUCUUGUAGGACUGUGCAUGGCCAUUGACAUGGGUAUGCGGCUUGUAUACUUGCAAGUGACCUGGGUGCUGGAUAGCCUCGUCAUCCCAUGACAUGCGUCCUGCUUGUGGGAGAUCCAGUGGAGCAUGACCGCUAGCAGAGUGGGGGUAAUGGAGUGGUAGGGCAAUGAUGGUUAUUUUCAGCCAUGGUGAGAGAGGAUGAGGUUUGAAAAGAGUGAAAGGGCAGGGAAAGCAGAAAUGGUUUGAUUUUUCUUUUUGGGAUUGAAGGGAGCUGGUGUGGUGGGUUUUGGCGGUCUGUCACCAUCAGUGUCGAGAGGCGGGGGAGAAAAUAGGGAGGGAGCGUUGAUGAUAUUGAGAGAGAGGCCUCUGGAUGGAAAGAACGGAAUUGGAUAAAUCUCCAUGUGAGUGUUUUGGAUUAAUUGGCUUGUAGACUUUGUAUUGUAUAUUGUGAUAAUCAAUAGAACCCUCUCCAUAUUAUCGGCCAAGAUGAUGUUGAAACAGCUAACAUGAAAACUUUAGCCUGAAAUGAGUAUUAUACACUUUAGACAAAUAGGAAUCAUCACAUUGCAAUUUUAAACCUGAGAUGACUAUGGUACAUUUUGGUCGAUCAUUUCUGGAAAGUAGUUGGUCUAAUGUUGGGCAUUUGUUAGUAUGAGAUCAAUUGGUAGUUCAAAUUUUGAACAAUUCAAUUGUGCCAUAUGUAUUUUGUGGAUUGGUGCUCCGCUUGUGCUAAGAGGCAGAAAAGAGUAUUGCAAGCCAUAAUUGGGUACUUGUUUAAAAAAGAAGAUUUUAUUUGAGAUGACAUAGACCUCCUCUUACAUAUAGUUUUGCCUUGUAUUGCAGAGAAAUUGCAAAACAUCUCUCACUUCCACCUGUGAAACUCCACUGCAGUAUGCUUGCUGAAGAUGCUAUCAAGGCUGCCGUAAAGGAUUAUGAAGCAAAGAAAGCCAAGAUGGCUCAACAAAAUUCAUGAGUCUGUACCAGCUGAGAAGGCAGCUGAUGCUUAAAAGUAAAUAUUAUGUCUAAAAUCGUGUACAAGUUAUGAUAAACAGCUGGUUCUUCUGGCUGUUCCAUGAUAAGAACGGCUGCUGAUGGGUUGGAGCCUGCCUGCAAAUCUGAAUUUGUUGUCACCAGGAUAUUAAGAAUGUGAACCAAUUAUGAAGCUAGUUAUGGUUGUUGUUUUUGGUUGUUUUUAUGAUGCCAAAAAUUUUGAGUUUCAUCCUAUUGUGUCGAUGACUAUAUUUUAUUUUAUUUUAGUACAAAUGGACGCUCAUACCAUUCUAGUAUGAAUAUAUUUCAUAAAAUUAGAAAACAAAAUGUCUUAUAGGACUUGCGAGCACAUUUGAUCUUGUUGUCAAGUCUAGUCAUUGAAAUGCUUAGUCACAUAAGAAGCGAUCUAAUCGUGUUAUUUGUCUUCUGAAAGACAUACUGAAUGGACACCAUGAUGGAGUCACGCAAGGCAAUCUAUAUGUCACGAAGGAAAGGAUAGGCUUUCAACUGCUUCAUAUCGUCUAGGAUUCAAUUGAUAACGGUGAUAGAAUCUUCCUUAAUAAAGAUCUUUUCUAUCUGAAGCGUCUGUCGGGUACAAAUAAUGUUCGUUCAGGUGAUUUGAAGUUCAUCUCUCAAGACAGAAGAUUCGAAGAGAUGUGAGCUUUCUGAUGAUAAAAUCAGCACCAUCUCUGUCAUCUCCGAUGCUAUCAUCGAAGCUAAUCUUGACAAACUCUGAAAGAGGAAGCUCUCAGGAUAUGAAAAUCAUUUGGAUUACUACAGGAGUAGUAUAGGAGUCUUAAGAAUCGAAAGCAUCAAGAAACUAGCUAGCAAUGUCGAAACAGCUGUACUCUGCAGUUCAGCAAAAGACUCUCUCCAACAUCCGAUGAACAGAAAUGAUUAUAUUUUGUUGGAAAACUAUUUUCUCUGCUAUAGAUGCGGGAAAAUUUUUGUAGGAUUUCACUAGAUCUAUUGUUAAAAAGGUGAAGAAGGAUUGUGCCAAACCGGUUUGUUUAUAUUGUCCGUAGUAGCGAGGAUCUGUUUGUCAAAAAGGUGGAGGACUGUGCCAGCCCGGUUUGUUCAUACCGUCCGUAGCAGUUAGGGUCCGAGGCUAGCUAAAUCAGCAAGCGGGAUUGCCCACACACCAUGUGAACCAGUCUUCAUAUGUGACUGAAUCUUCUCUGUGGCGCCCAUCUAUGAAGGGGAAGGAAAAUGUGGAGUUCCCAAUAGGUGCUGUUCACCCAUUGCAAGUGCAUCGCAUUCACAUGUAAAUGAAGGUUGUCAUCGAACGGCAUCUACCAAUAACCACCUCUCAAUUAACGUAGUCCCCGCAUUUGAUGCUUUUCCGGUUUCCUGUGCUUGCAUAGAGGCCCAAGUGUAGCUUUUUCCAUGUAACCAUUUGAACCUGAGGCCUUGGUGCUCCGAAAUGGUCGUGGUGAAGGCUGCUAGCCAACAAGCCGUUUUUAAGGUGAUGCAGCUUCUUACACUUGUCCGUUUGCUGGUGGUUCAUUGCAUCCUUCAGCUGACAGAAGCCAAGCAUUUGGAGGCAACAAUCCUGACACACCCGGUGUCGUGAAAGGUGGGGAGUUCUUGGAGCUAGGAAAUAUGCGCGUCUCCCUCCAUGGCCAUCCUUCUCCCAAGCUCCUGGCCUGGGGGCCCCAUAGCAAACCAAAACAAAAGAACGAGCCUAUGGUUCAACAUCGGCCACAUUUUUGUCCAAACAACCAGCGGAAUCCAGAUCGUGGUUUAUGCUUUUCACCUUUGGCAAGAAGGUAUCAAGAUUUUUCGUUGGUGGAUCUCAGCUUUUUCUCUUUCUAUUUUUUUUAUUUUUUAAAUGAAACUGUACUUGGAAGCCAAGUGGCGCGUCUGCAUGCGAUCACAUGGUAGAGGGCUCAAUUGGACGAUUCCAUGUGUCAACAUGUGAUUACGAGUAGAAAGAACCCAUCAGGACAAAGGCUUGAUGCAGAAAUAUGAAUUUCCUCUUCUUGUUUGAACAUUAUUCUACAAUCUGAUGCAAUUCUAAAGAACCGAAAGAAAGGUCUUAUGGUAGGCCCAUCUUUGGCUCCUGUCCUUGCAGUUAUUGUAAGGUCGGUCUUUUUAAUUUUUCAUUUCCGUUUUCCUUGUAUUUCUUAUUUAUUGAAUCCUUUUGCUUUUCUUCAUCAACGUUUUUAUGAAGUUGGAGAGUUUGAAUGGAGGGGAUAAUAUACUUUUAAGGUUCUCUGACCCCUCUAACCAAAAAAAAAAAGGGAAAAAGGGUUCUCUCACCCCUAGUAGAGAUAUCUGACUUAUAUUGGUUACCUUUCACCGUUUUAUAUUUACCUCCAGAUGAGAAAUUAAAGCAAUAAAUAUAGCAAACCAGGGACUACCAUGACUCCUAAUUGGGAGUCCCAACUCAGAGUCGAGUAGCACCUCUUCAAGAGCAUAUAAUUCUAUUGUAACUAAAAAGAAAAGUGCCUCUAAGAACAAAGCUGUUUUACCUUUCCAGCCUCUUUAACUACUAAAAGGAAAAGCUGCACUGUCAAUCUAGUAAAAGAAAAUCUAUAAGAAUAAUUACAUGAAAGCAAUUGAUAAGAUGCAGACCGGUAUAUCAUAUUAGCACACUCUUCUUUGCAUAAUGUUUUGAAGAUAAGAGUGGUGUUACAAGACAUAUUUUGAAAAAUAUAUAUUACUUACUCAAUUUAUAUUUUUGCCGAUCUGAUCAUCGAGAAAGAAGAAUUUCCUUGAAUACCUUCGAACUCAAAUAUCUACAAUUGAAUAACAAAGAGUAAAAUAAUUGACAAAAUUAGGGUUUAGGUUUUUUUUUCUUUCAUUAAUAAUUUGUAAAACUAACUUAUAGGGUCUUUACUCGUACUAAUGAGGUCCUCCCUUAUACAUAUAGGUGGGAUUUUACCUUUAGUUAAAAGACAUAUUAUAGCUUUUCUAAAAUCAAAAUGAUUAACAAAAAUAACUAUAGAAAACUUAAAAUUUUAUGAGAGAUGAAUUUCAAUUUCUAUAUUAACUUUAUCUUCAGCCAUUUUACUUAAUUCUUUCAAGGUUGUGAGAUAUGCUUAGUUAAAAUAACAAUAUCUUUACUGAAAAAAAAGUUCUUAUUUUAACUAACUAAUUUUGAGAUCUAAAUGGUAGAAUUUGCUCUUGAUUGGUGGGUGCCUCAAAACUUAUAGGAGUGGAUGAAAUUUGGGAUCUCAAAAAGCAAUUAAAUAAAUAAAUCUCAAUCAGAUAUUAUAUAGGCAAGUUAUGAUCUACAGAAGUUUUAAUAUACAAUUUGGUUUUAGCGGUGACAGAUCUUGCUUCUGAGUUUUAUCCAGACAUUUUCAUAAUAUCCAAUUUGAUCCUCAUUCUAGCUGACGAUUCUUCUGAAUUACUUGCAAAAUACAUAUGUAUUAGAAAUUUUAAAUUGUAUUUAGAGCAUAUUAAAAAGAAAAACCUAGCCAAAUUUAUUACUAUGAUCUGCAAAGAUAAAAAUAUCUAAAUAUAACAACUUUAUGCCUUUCUUAAGACUUCCUCCAAAACUAUUACUAAGUGUUCUUUUUCAUUCUCUUUUGUUUUUUGUUUGCAUGCCUAGGCAGAUAUUAACAUAUUUACAUGCGUGAAGGUCUUGAGGCCUUGAUUUACUCAACCCACUGAGCCGUCAACCUGUGGCAAUAACUAUACCCGACUAUGUAACAUCACAUGAGAUUUUGAUGAGCCAGCAUUCUUCUCCGUUACAAGACAAUAUAUACCACGCACAUAGCAUCCUCAGUUUUCUCUUGUUUUUCUCUCAUAGACUUCUAGUUUUUUUUUUUUUAUAUAUUUUUUAUGUAAUCAUGCUUAUUCCUAAUCAGAAAAUCAUGUCCAUUCAUUUUCAUCAGAUUGGGCAUCUUUUACACUAACUACUCCGUUCAGGAUCCUUGUAUUUACUUUGUUUCAGGCCCUUCUUUCGUUUUGGGAAGGGUCAACUCAUUCAUGUCUUCAUCCAUGGAUUGUUUCUUUCUGCAAUCUAGAUUGGUGGAAUGUACAAGCAAAACUCUCAUGCAUGAUGUACUCUUAUCAUCACAAAGCUACAAGAACUUUCUUGAAUGGUACUGGUACUUUCCAUCAUUAUAUUACACGGAAGCAUUUAUAAGUCGCUCUCUCUUUUUGCUUUCAGAUCUGAUUUAGUUUUAUGAUAUAUUCCAAUCUUUCAAUAAUAUGAAUGGAUGACAUUAACAUCCAAGUCAUCAUCUAUGGAGGUUGUGAGAUGUCUCCACUCAGCCUCUAGUGAUCACCCGUAUUUCUUACAUGGACGCAGGAAUAAACUAAAUGGAAGGUCAAGGAGUGUGUUACUCAGAAAUGGAUUUCUUAAAAAAAAAAAAAAAAGGUCUAUUAUCUCUUUUUUUUCUGUGAAAAGUUUCUAAAUAAUUUCCUUGGAGUAUAGCAUAUGAUGUGAGGUGCCAAGAAUUAUCUAUGUUUAAAUAUCAGAAGAGAUGGUCUCCUGAACAAAAAUUUAGUACAUGUCACUAUAGGAUAAAGAAACCAUAUAUAUGCAUAGACAUUAUUGUAUUAGAUGAUUACAUAUACUUACCUUCUAAUAACUUGUCAUGAUGCCAACAAAAGCAGAAACAAAUUGCUGAGGGGCUAAGGAAAAAAAAGAAUUAAUUAAAACUAUGGCAUUUUCUGUGGCUGAAGUGUUGGACAUCUGGAAGAAGUUAUUGGCUAGAACCGUUCUACGACAUAGAUUUUGGACCAUCCAAUAAAAAAAAUCAUUACAUCAAAUCCAAAAUUCCUGUGGUAAAACAGUCCCAGCCAAUAAUUUAUCCUCUCAGACUUUUUCAGAUUUUAGCAAAGAGGCCACCGGGCUUUCUUCAAAUCCUCUCUUGGGCCUCCCCUUUAGUUACUACCUCCGAGUUAAAUGGCUCACACUAACCCACACUAAAACAUUAGAUUAGAUCCUAAGUCCCCACCUAGCCCAGCUCCUAAAGCACGUCACCCAAAUGAAUCGCAGCCGUUCAUUUCAUCGAUAAUACACCUUAUCAUCGGCGAGGCACCUCCUCCAUUCCCUUGCCGAGUAGUACCCGCCACAUCCUCACGCUCGUCGGACUGGUACGACUAAAAAAUAAAAUAACAACGAAGGGGUCGAGGACCUUCAUUUGGGUUUCAUUUGUGCAUCAUUUCACCCCCAUCUCACCACCAUCUGAGGUCUAUUUAAAGUAGCCCUGAGUCCCAACCCCAAGGUCAGCCGUCGGUAAUCCUAGCAACAUUAAUUUUUCCACCAAACCCCUCACCAAUAUUACUAAUUAGUUUUAGCCUGCUGUAUACUUUGUUCCAUGGCCCCCGGCGUUCCUGCCACUAGCAUGUGCCGGGGGGAGACAUGGGGCUACUUUGGCUCGAGGCGGGCCUAUGUUACGUUCCUCGCCGGCGACGGCGACUAUGUGAAGGGGGCGGUGGGGCUGGCCAAGGGGCUGAGGAAGGUGAAAAGCAUGUAUCCGCUCGUGGUGGCGGUGCUGCCUGACGUGCCCGAGGCUCACCGCCAGCUGCUCCGGGAUCAGGGGUGCAUCGUCCGGGAGAUCGAGCCCGUGUACCCACCGGAGAACCAGACCCAGUUCGCCAUGGCCCACUUCGUCAUCAACUACUCCAAGCUACGCAUUUGGAACGUGAGUAUUGUUCCUUUUAGGGGUAUAUUUGCAUGGAUCGAUCGUUUAUUAGCCAUGCACGUAGUAUUAGGUACUGUUUUAGAGCUUGGGAAUCUGAGCCAGUCUUAAUUCCUAUUGCUCCGGUAGAUGAGGCUGAGUUAACUCGUCAGUUAAUUAUAAUACGGGUAUAUACUUGGGAGUAAUACAUCUGAAUAUAUAAGAAUGAGGUCGAACAUAUAUAGAUGAGAUAUCAAGAACUAGCCUUAAUAAAUUAUUGACUCGAAGCAAAGGUUCUUAUAUUAUUUCACUCAAAGUCUCAGCCGAGGUGGAUCAUCAAGCUAGCUAGCAAGCUGCUCGUCCAAAUAGAAAUUUGAUAGAUCUGCAAAAGGUCAGCAAAUACUAUUGUUUGAUGGCUUGGUUUGUAAUAUAAGGUUCUAGUUUAGAUGUCCAAUGAAGAGGGUUUCCUUUUGAUAUAGCGAGUUAUAAAAAAUUAAGAAGACUGAUCUGAUUUCAUUUUACAUUUCAUUUAGAGUGAGACAUAGCCCAUUGCAUAAUUUUCAAAGUUAAUUACCACUAUUUAUCCAUUGACUAGUUCAUCAUCAGUAUAUAUAACUGAUUGAUUGCUCCGCUGAGGAAAAUAAGGCAACACAUAUCAGGGUCAACAUAUAUAAAAAAAAAUUCUAUGCAGAUGUUCAGAUCUGAGCUAGCAGACAAUGACAUAUGAGAAACAUAUUACAUUUUUCUUAAAACCAAAUAACAAUUUCUUCAAUUUAUUUGUAGAUUUACUGAACAUAUGGACAUACUGGAUACUUGGUAAGUUGGUAUAUAUAUUUAAGCACUGACAGUUGUUUUAUUGGGCUAUACUGUUGCAUGUAGUUUGAGGAAUACAGCAAGAUGAUCUAUCUUGAUGCGGAUAUCCAAGUGUUCGAUAACAUAGACCACCUCUUUGACAUGCCUGAUGGCUACUUCUAUGCUGUGAUGGACUGCUUCUGCGAGAAGUUAUGGAGCCAGUCUCCCCAGUACUCUAUUGGCUAUUGCCAGCAGUGCCCGGAAAAGGUGGCAUGGCCUGCCGAGAUGGGAUCUCCUCCUCCACUCUACUUCAAUGCUGGCAUGUUCGUGUUCGAGCCCAAUCAUCGAACCUAUGAGAACCUUCUUGAGACUCUUAAGAUCACACCACCAACCCCCUUUGCAGAGCAGGUGAGCUUAUGAGUAAUAUCAUCUUCUCCAAGCUGUUUGUUCUGAAAUUCCUAUUCUCAAAAAGAACAAAUUCAGUGCGAAUAUACAUUUUUAAAACAGAUAUAAAUAGGAUAUUUGUCCAUAAUUUGAUGAAAGAAACAAUAUGUUAGAGACAUAAAUGAUGUCGAAGCCGGACAGAAUUCAACAGAUCAAAAGAAAUUAAAAGAAGCAAAAAAGUACAUGAAAAUGAAAUAUAGUUGUUGAUAUUAUGUAUAGCUACAUAUAAUGCUGUACCUAUUACUUUUGUCACUUAAUCAUCCUUGUGUAUUGGCAGUUUGUAAAAUUGAGUUAGUAUCACAAUUUUGAUAAUAUAGAUGAGAGCAACAGAUUUUUUGAAGUGAUGUAGAUGAAAGAAACUUCUAUCAGAUCAUAGGAUUGACUCAAAUCUUUUUUCGUGGAUUUGCUAUUGGUAAAUUUUAUAUAAUUAUUAAAUUAUCAAAUGUUUUUUUAAAAUAUAAUAUUUUCAUAUUUGUAACCAGCUAAAAGUGAUACAAGCUAAUUAACUCUUUGCAUCUUAAUUAAAAAUAGACUAAAACAAGCAAUAUGUUCUGACUAGAAUUAGAAUACCAUAUGCAAGUGGUUCUGUUUGGAGCCCUAUCUCCAUAUUCUUGCUCCACCUAUCUCUGGAUAGAGAAGGGCCUACAUGUAAACCGCCGCAUGCAUGAACCAUCCAUGUAAAAGCUUGAGCCUUUCAAAUCAAAAUCAAGAAUCCUAAGAUCAUCUAGUCGGACAAACCAAAGGUGGUCCUCUAAAUUGACCUUUCUUUUUUUUUUUUUUUUUUUGUGAUAAAGAUUGACCAUAUGUUAUUUACAAGGCGUAGCUUAUUAAUUUCUAUUUUUUAUGAGGCAGUAAUCCUUGGAGAUUCAGGGUUAUAAUAAGGACCAUGACACAGAUGGUGGUGGUUUUGAUUCACUAUCACCCUUAUCUUUGUGAUAGUUAGUAAACAUAUGAUGAACUAGAAGUAACUUAGGAGCCAAAGAAAGCAUACAAGCUCUGCCAUAUGUUUCUCACUUCUCACUUUUUGAGAACUAAAAAGUUAAGACAAUUUAAGUUUCCCACAUCUUUCUCAUCUUUUCUUGUUGUAGGAUUUCUUGAACAUGUUCUUCGAGAAGACCUACAGGCCAAUCCGUCUUGUUUACAAUCUGGUCCUGGCCAUGCUGUGGCGCCACCCAGAAAACGUUGAGCUUGACAAGGUUAAGGUGGUCCACUAUUGUGCUGCAGUAAGUCCUUUACCAAUAUUGAUCCCUUCUCUCAUGAAUCAAAUCACUACAAAGGAUUGCAUCAAUUAUUCAUGUCUACUAUCACCAUUCAUUAUGAAUUUCUUAUGUUAAUAGGGUUCAAAGCCAUGGAGGUACACUGGGAAAGAAGUUAACAUGGAUAGGGAGGAUGUCAAAAUGCUAGUGGCAAAAUGGUGGGAUAUCUACAAUGAUGAGUCACUUGAUUUCAAGGCAGAGGACAUGGUUGCAGAGGGAGAGGCCUUCUCGAUGUCUUCAUCGAUCAUGGCAGGCAUGCCAGAGCCCACAAUCAACUACAUCCCUGCACCAUCUGCAGCAGCUUAAGUGAGGCUAGGAAAGAUGAAGAGUGAAUGGAGGAAUUUUGAAAGCAUGUGAAAAUUUGUGUAAUGAAUAACUAACUGCCAUUUCAAAGGUCGCUACCUUUGAUCAUCUCCCUGUUCUAUGAAAUCAUCCACUUGGGCCAAGAGAAGGAAAGUUCUACUCUUGAGAAAAUUCUCGAGUUAAUACAAAUUUUGAGUGGUGUUCUGCUCUUGAGAAAAUCUCAAGAUAAUAUAAAAUUUGAGUGGUGUUUAUUUAUCUAGUCUGUUACUGUUCAACAUCAUGAAUUCUAUUCUCAAUGGACCAGGAAAAUCAGUUUUGAUCUUUAAAAACUGGAAUUAGGAUUUCAUCGAUGACGAUGUCCAAAUGACCUAUAGAAUUGCAUUGUGUUCAUCACGUCCAAGCAACAUUCUUUAUUUCUUUAUAAAGAAGGAAAAAAAAUGACCCACCCUCUUUAUUAGGAAAAGAAUUUCAAAAGCUUCCUAAUAUAAAUGCGCAACACAUCACAUGUUCCAUAAAGUCCAACAGUUCCCAUCAAAAGAGUUUCAGUUGAUAUCAUUUUUCAUGCAACAUCAUUGAAGUGUCAAAAAGAGGCAAUACUCCAGUGUUGGAUGCAUCACUGAGUACACGAAGAAGUAAAAAUAGAUUAAUGUAGACAAAAGACUCAAUCUUUGAAUAUGAAAGUGCGUUUCUUGAUAUCAUUUUCAUGAAGCAUCUUUGAAGUGACAGAAGGAGGCAAUGCUUCCAAUCACUAACACUAGCAUUGGGUGCAUGCAAUGCAGGUGAGAAGAAACAUGGAUAAACAUAUGCACCAUAGAAAUGCCCAUCUUUAAAAUCUUUAUUUGAAAUUGGGAAAAAUAUUUUGCAACGCAUAUUCAUUUUUCCAAAUAAUUAAUACAAAAUUUGCCUCAACCAAAUCGAAUAUGACGGACCCUGAGUUUAUAACUUAUAAUCUUCCGGACUGUGUAGUUUGAACAAGUGUUUGACAUGCAUAAUUCUUCCACUAUUUUACUACCGGUGUGCUCCCAACUUUGUUAUAAUAAGUGAAAAGAUUAUUAGAUGGUGUGGUCGAUUAUAACAACAUUAGUCAGGUAAUAAAGUUCAACAUCUACUGCCUUUGUGCUGCAAUAAUAAUUCAGUUUAUGUAUCUUUUCUUUUAAUCUCGUUUCAUGCUCGUUCCAGUAUGCAUUCAUUUUUAAGUUCAUUUCUUUUCGUGCGUCGAUAAACAUCUGCAUUAUUAUAUCCCGAGUAAUGCAAGGAAAGUGAAAUCAACAUCGAUUUGAUGUUAUGGUAACUUUCAUAUGAUCUCACCUAAAGCGAUCUUGAAGUCUCUCAUUAAGUCAGAAAGUUUUUCUUCCUCCGAGAAAAUCUACUAAGUAAGACAUGUGUUGUUGACGGAUUUUUAACUCCACUAGAUAAGAAAUUUCAUUGCUGCUGCUAGAAUAAGGCUACCAAGUCAAAGAAGAGAGAAAUUGCUAAUAUUUUCCAUAAUAUGUCAGCACAGUUUCUUUCUGUAAUUUUGUAAUAAAAGUUAAUUUAGAGACGAAAGAACCUGUGAUUUUUUUAAAGACAAAUUUCAAUUCUCACAGUUUUUUUUCUGUUUUUCUUUUUAGAGAAAUCUAUUCCUAUUCCAAGGUAGAGAGCUCAAAAUGUUAUGGGUGUGAAGGAUUUUCAACUUCUAAUGUGGAACUCGUUUCCUUGCGCCUUUUAGUUCAGAUGCAAGUAGGUGAAGAUAUGAAAGUCCAGAAGAGCAGCAAGGAGUUAGAGAAAUAGAAACCCUAGGUUAAAAGAGCUAGGAGAAAAGAACUGGAGCCCAUUAACAAAUUAACGAAGCUGGAUAAACCUGCAAGAGCGCUUCCAAUCGAAGUAUUAAGGUUUUAGUACUGAUAAAAAUUUUAUGGGAAAACAGAGGAGGGGUCAGGAGGUGGGGAGUACUUGCGAGGAAAAGAACGAGGACAACACGGAUGCUGCAAGUUAUAACCAGAAGGAUUUAUUAGUAAUAUUAUAAUUUAAUAAAAAUUUUUAUAUAAAAAUUUUAGCCUCCAUCGAGAUGACAAUGAUCGGAUAUGGGUUAUAUUGAUCAAUAUCCAUAUCUAUCUUAUAAUUAGAAAUUCUAUAUCUAUGUUUAUUCCAUAUAUGUCUUGAGCCGAAUUAGGUCGGAUCAAAUAGAGUUACGGAUCAGAUAGAUAAAAAGGAUGAGAUUGGAUCAAAAAAAAAAUCUAUCGUAUAAAUAUUAUAAAAUAAUUAUAAAUUUUAAUUAAGAAUUUAGAUUGAGAUUAUAUUAGAUUGGAUUCGGAUAGGACAUACUAUUAUCCAUACUCGAUUCAAAUUCACUUCAAUUUUUUUUCUAAAAUCUAGAUCCGUCACAGAUUUUAAUCAGAUCAGAUAAAAUCUAUCUCAUCCAGAUCGGAUCAGAUUGGAUAUCUGGAUUGGUUAAAAUUACCAUCCCUAAAUCUUGUUAAAUUGCAUGCUGGAACUAGUUGGAACUUGGCAUUGGAUAUGCUUUUUUACAUUAAAGUCCCUUUAUGACAUAACAAUUAUAUAAAAGUUUACUCACACUGUUUGAACUUCUUUCUUCAACCGGCCUGCGGGGACUAGUUCAAACUAAAUAUAACCGCUAGUCUCAUGGGAGUUUCACGUAUAUGCUGAGUUCGAACUAGUCCCUUCACCUGGCCUGCCGGAAUCAAUUCAUAAAUAUAACCGGGUCUCAUUUUAACUCCGUAGAGAACACAAGUAUUAAAUGUAAGUUAGUUAUCAUGGGAGUUUACAUAUACAUAUGUCUCUACUGAGUUUGAACGAGUCUUGUACUCUCAUUAGCUGGUGCGAUGGGACCAGUACAGAGUAAACAGAAGCACACUUAUGCAAGAACACAUACAGAAGAUAUCUCUCAUAUAAUUAGGUCUACCUUUUUGAAGUAAGUACACAAUAGAGGUUCAGAAGAAAAUCAGCUUUCCUACUCCUGGAAGAAGGUUUCACUUGAUUCCCAACUAGAAUCCCGGCCUACACAAAACAAACCUCCAAACGAAGCUCAGGUUUCGGCAAUACUUGGGAAAAGCCCGAAGUUUAUUGGAGGCCAUUAACCUUUGGUAUCCGCACAUGUGGGUCAUUUCUUUUCUGAAGGUACGGGAAUUGUUUCAAUACAAACACAUCUGGAGAGGCCCAUGUUUUGCUGUCUAGCUAGCAUAGAAGCCGCUAAGGCAAUCCUCCAUCGGGUGCAACUCUAUCGAUUUCUUUAUAGUUUACUGAGAAACCAUUUCAGUGAUCCCCUGAAACCUUUUUACAUAAGCAGUUUAUAUGUCUGAAUUAUAAUGAAAUCAUGGAAAUUUUUUAACUAAAUAAGAGAGAGAGAGAGGGUGGUGGUGGGGGAAACUGGAAAGGUCAUUGUCACCCAGUGACCAGUUGCUUCUCCUUGAGACCCGGAAGGAAAUGAACGGCACUUUCACAUGCAUACUUGUCACCAACAAGCAAAAUGACAUCGAUUGUACAAGUCAGCAUUAUAAGUUUGCUUUGGUUGGAAUAUCAUGGAUUAAAAGUCAUGCAUCAAAGUCUGGGGACAUCGCAUCCACUGGAACUUUCAUGCCACGCCACUCAAAAGUUAUCAAAAGUUAUCCAGGAACAGUACUUUUGAAUUAACGAGUCAAGUCCAAAGAUGCGGGGAAGAUUUCUUAUUGUUGCCGAUUAAAUGAAGCCACCUGAUGAAAUAAGACAAAGGAAAAUCCUGACGCUUCUAAUGAUCGUAUUAUGUCAGCAUAUCUCUUUUCUCUAGUUGGAUUAGUAAAAACACAAAGGCAAUUAAAGAAAAUAUAUUUAGCAGAAAAAUGAUUUCGAGAUAAAUCUAUCUACAUUUUGUUCAUACCGUUCGUGUGUAUAUGAAAUCUGGAAUAGCUUAAUCUUGUGUCACAAAGACAAACUGCCCAACGGAAGAAAGAAGGGAAGAGAGAGACAAAGCUUAUUUUAUUAAGAUCAUAAAAUCUAAGGACGGCUGGGGCUGAACUAAACUCAGUAAUGGCCACAACAAAGAAUUGAACUCCGGUCCACAGCAUGCUCAACAAUGACGUUUGCUGAAUCAUUCAGAUUAUCUUAAUUGAAUACUGCAAAAAUUUCACCACCAAAAUCCAAAACCAGAAACUCCCAACAGCCCACAGGAUUCUACGCGCCGUCGCCUGGGAGAUUCUACACGCUGUCGCCUGGGAGAAAUUCUUGGUUGAGAGAAAGGUAUCAAAUAGCAAAUAAGCAAGAAGGAAGACAGCCGAAUGUGGAAUUUACUGGAGCUUAUUUAUUUUGAUUUGUAUUCAUUAUUUCGAAAUAUGGAAGGCGGAUAAAAGGGUAAAUUACAAACAAAAUUCAGAGGUUGAAAGACCCAGGAUCUGGCAUCAAAUUGUGCAUCAGGUCAACGCUUAAAUUUCUAAGCCGCUUGGACAUACAUUUCUCGUCAAAUCCAAAGGAGCUCAGAAACGGAAUACACACUAAUCGGAUAGCAUGGGUAUGGAGCGACGUAGCAGACGCAAGAAGCAGACUAAGACCACCAAUGAAAGUUUCCCAACAUCGGUCCCUGAACACAUUAGUUACAUUAGCAAAGAACUCAAAACACGCUAAACAUUCAUAUGGCCGUCAAAUCAACAGGGAAAUUGAACGAUCUUCUCGUGAUCGAAUAUAUUUAUAAACCCAAAUAAAGCUAUUCCAUCUUUGAUGUCUCAUUGCUUUUACAACAACUAAAUGACGGACUUGAGCAAUGAACCACCCCAUAAAAUAUUGUCACACUCUGCACUACUGCUCGCGUAACCUUUGUUUUUUUCUCAUCAUCUUCCUCCGUCUCUCUUCUCUCUCUUCUUGCUCAAUGAGGCGAAGCUGCUCUUCAUCCUCCCUUCUAGCAAUCUUGGAACUGUCCACAGGAAUUCAUUAAAUCGUUGCAUAGCAGAACAUGAGAGUUUCUAACCAAAAUGCAGAAAGACUGUAUGCACUGAAAAAGAAAAAUUGAGCUCGAGGAAACUGCAUUGUUUCUCAAAGAAUGUUCACAUGGCUCCAAACUACACCAUUGGUUCUGCCAGCGACAGAACCAAACAAAAAUAAGGCAUCGUGGCAUUGUGAUUUGAUUGUCUUAUCAGAUCAACCUUAAGAAAUGUCUUGCUUCAAGAAUGUAACUUGGCAUAACAGAAUGAAGACAGACAUCCCAAAUAGCUCAGUUAAGCCCCUAAGUUCACCUCAAAGAGUUCUCUUUUAAUUAGAUCCAUUCAGACACAGUUUUAAAGAAAGCACUUAUGGCCCAGAAAAGAUCCAUACCUCAUCCAUUCUUCCUUCUGGAUGCGAUCAAAACCGACCUCCAUGUCACUGUCGUCCUCAUCAUUCCCAGCAUAUUUGCUAGGAUCAUACCUGCAUAUGGAACAGACAUGCAAAUAUUUUAAUAAGCCAAAAUGCUGAUUUCCUUUUAAUGUGGUUCCUAAACUUGAAUCUUAUCCCUACAACAAUGUCAACUGGCAGUUUUUAUUCAAAAUGAUAAUGGCAAUCUGAAUUAUUACAAGAGAUUCCAAACAUAUGUAGUUUUCCAUAAUUGAAGAGGGAUUCUUCUUACAUUCUGUUAAGUAUGGAAGAGCUGGCUACAAUGAUACGAUUCUUAAUAAAAUUUCUGAAUUUGCUAAGAAGCCCAAAUGCUGAUUUCCUAUUCAACUUUUAAUUUUAUGGUCCCUAAAAUCUUAUAUCCCCAUCACAAGUAAAUGCCAGUAUUUCAUCCAGAAAGGCAACAGUAACCCAUAUUCUUAUAAGAGGUUCCAAACAUACGUAGUUUCCUAUAAUAGAGGAUGGAUUUGUCAUAGUUCCAUUAUUCUUCCUGAAAUUGUGGCACGUAUGGAAGAGUUUUUGAAUUUUCUAUUUCAAGCCAGUCUUCGGUCAAUGAGUAAUUCUCUCUUAAUGAUUCUCUUAAAUUACCAAAUCAGCUUUUGCAUACCCCUAGGGCAGACAACAGGUUGGAUAAAGUUCAACACCAUUCCAUAUCCGAAUCGGGUCAGAUUAAGAUAUAGAAAAUGCGUAUCCGACUUAAUUUGGAUAGGGACCUGGAUACAGGUUUCCGAAGAACUUCGGUAAAAGAUAAAGACACAUCCGGAAUUUUAGGUUUAUCUCUAAAUUGAGAUCCAGAUAUCUGGUAGCUUAAAUUUAAAAAAUAAAAAACUUUAAUGGGAUCAGUAUUCUCCCUUCUCUUCUCCACCUCUGACCUAGUUCCUUCCACACCAAGACUGUAAGCCCCAAAGUCACCGACCUUGACCUUGACCUUGCCUCACAUUCAUUCCUUCUACCUUAAUGGUCAGAGACAAGCCCCUAACACCAAGCGCCACUGCUGUCUAGCUCGACCUCCUCCAAUUCCUCUCUCUGUUCUUUCUUCUCUUCAGUCCUCUUUCACCUCUUUCACUGAACUCCCCACAUUCAUUCCUUCUGCCUUAAGUGGUGAGAAACAAUUCCCUAACACCAAGCACCAUUGCUGUCUAGCUUGACCUCCUCUAAACCCUCUAUCUCUGUUAUUUCUUCUCUUCAGUUAUCUUUCACCUCUUUUUUUUUUCUUCGAUACGAUGUAUCACUCAUACAAGUCUAUUAUGAACACAUCCAAAAGUGUCAGGGUACAAGUCUGUACUCUUUCACCUCUUUCACUGAAUUUCCCAGGCCAUCAUUCUCAAAGAGAAGGCCAACCACCCAGACCUCACUGCUCUAGCCACUGCAGGUCACCAGCCCCACUUCUAGAAACUAAAAUGUCCUUCCACAGUUUUCCAUGUUAUAAAAAAUCAUCUUUUGGUGGAGAUCUGCUCCACACAGAAGCUAUCAUAUAAGGCUUGCUUCAAAAUGUAUAAGGAAUACCUCUUAGUCUAAUAUAUCCUUAUGAUAGAAUCUUGCUGUCCCUUUGAAUGUUGUUGUUGAAGCUGCUACAUCGGCAGCACUGGGUAAGGCCCUAAAUUUUUAUUUUGUUUUGAUAGGUGAAGUCACUGAAUCCCAUAUGAAAUAUCUUUUUGGAUUCUGUUCUGAUUUUUGACCUUGGGAGCUUCAUGAUGUGUGGCUUAAGUGUCUGAUUUCUGUUCAACCUUCAUGUUUGUUUAUUUAUCUAUUCCAUUGAUCUUUCGACUUCAUUUGCUUGGAAGGAUUUUUGGUUGGGUGCACCCUUAAAGAAAAACAAAAAGGCUGAGUUUGCUUUGGAUAGCCAUCUUUCUAGCUGCUAAUGUAGCUCUACAUUCUGCUAGUGGAUUUCCUCCGAUAACCUGUUUGUUGUUGUUAUAUCAUUAAAUUUCCUGGCCUAUUUAACAAUUGAUUUUGUAUGUUAUGAUUAUUAAUGUGUAAUAUUAUCUUUUCUGGCAUUAGUAUCAUGUGGUGUUAUCGGUUGAUGCCGGCAAUAAAAUGUAACUUUCUGAUCUCUCAUAUUAGAAUAACCCUAAUGUUGUUGCCAUUGAUUAUUUUUGCCUGAAACAUCUGAUUUAUAUCCGUAAACGUGAAGAGAAAAUAUGGAUAUGACCGAUAUCCACAUUCAUAUAUGAAACCAUUUAAAACAAAGAUGGAUAUAAAUUUUAGUAUUUCUUUAAUAUUUGUUUCCAGAUCUGUAUCUGCAAAAUAAAGAUAGAUAUGAAUAUGGAUAUAUACCAAUAUCUGAUCGAUAUAAGAGACAAUUUACAGCUUUAAAUGACAAGAAGGUAAAUGAAAACAAUUAUGAAGAGUUCAGAAAUGAAUCCAAACCUGAACAUUUUUCUAAUAAGCCCCCGAACAUCAUCUAUAUCUUCCUCUUCAUCUAAGUCUCUUUUUGCAGGCCUUCUCUUUGAACGGUCAUCAUGGAUGCCAUGUGAAAGGAUUUGCUUCGAAAGCUUCAUGAUCAAAACUCAAAGUAAGAAAUGAAGUUAUCAACAACAGCAUAUCAGUAAACAAACUAUAUAAAAUAUUAAGCAUGCAUGCUUGCAUUAUUGUGUCUAUGCAUCUGUGUGCUGGGAGAUAGAAGCAAACCUGAAUUUUCGAGGAAGGCAAUGGCUGUUUGGGUACUGUUAUUUGGUUAUCUGGUCCUUGGGACACUUUUUUCUGACCAAGAUGAUGAUUUUGGGCAGAAGAUUGCACUCGUGUAGAAGACAGGUUCUUCAAACUUGGAUCACUCGUAGCCUUCAUAGGAGGUCUAUUUGUGCCCAUAUUUUGAGCAGGAAUCUUGGAGGGUAAGGCUUUAUUUCCUGUACUUAUAACCCUUGUAGUCUUGGCGGAUCCAUUUCCAGCACCAGCACCAAGUACUUUUCUAGAUUCAGUUGAAGCCGGCCUGAUUCUGCUCACAGGAGCUUCCUUCACAGAGCCCACUUUGAUCCGCAUAUGCUGAUUGGUGGAAGCUUUCUUCAAUUCACUGCCAUUAGAGGCUGGCCUCACAGGUUGCUCAUAGGUAUCCUGCUUGAUGGUGUCUGGGCUGACUGACCAUCUUCCACAUUAGCAGAAGCCUGUAUAAGUAUCCUCUAUGAAAAGACCAAAUAUGCCUAACAGUUUGCAAGUCAAAAUCUAGAAGCUAAUGAAUUCCAAGACCAACAUACCAGACUUUGAAACAGAAACAUUUCUGGGUGGAGGAGGCUUCUUCCCUUCAGAAGCAGGAAGAUCAGCAUCAUCUGACAGUAGAAAGGAAUAGUCCUGCAUAUCUUUAAGAGUCCGUGCUUUCUUUUUUACCUGAAAAAGAUAACUAUCUUAUUAUACAUAUAUACCUUGGCAAUGUCACUACAAAAAAGGCUCGUAAUGGUGCAAGUUCCCUAUACCUCAUUAACAACUGUUGGUUUCUGGCGAUGCAUAUAUGUCUUUGUUUCUGAAGAUGUCGGAUCUCUUUUGUUCUGCAGAAACAAGCAAAAUGUUAAAUUUGUCCAGUUAAAAUAACAGGUAAUAAAAUAUGAGACCUCUGAAACUUUUUUCUCAUGAUACAUACACCAGAAGAACUUGAAACCUUAGAAACAAUAUGUUUGGUUUCCCGAAUCGAACGGUUCUCUUCAAUAACUCUUGAAGCAAUAACAGGCUGAGAUGGGCCAAAAAAGGAGCCAAAUCUGCAAGAAAAGUUUGCUCUCUAAAAAAACAGAAAAGCAAUGCAUUGCCAAACUGUUCUCAUAUAUCAAAUAAUUCCAAAAUAAGCAAAAGCAAACCAAGUAUCACUGACUGUUAAAGAAAAUUUCAUCCAUUGUGUAAUUCUCAAGGAAAUUCACAACUAAUUUUAAAAAUAAAAAUCCUUUUCUUUUGUAAUCAAUAUAGAGGCCAUGCAACUUUUACAGUACCUGAUAGCAAAAACCAAUUACAAGACAAUAAUGAUCUGUAUAUAAACAUCAAUUGGUCACAAGAUGCAGUUUUUGCAUUAAAUGCAUGUCUUGGCAUAGGCAAAUAAGUAACAAUAAUGCAUUUAUAGGUCUUAAAUUUAGGAUCGGGGCAACAAUAUUAUUUCCAAUAGGCACCCCAUUGUCCUCCAUCUGUAAAGAAAAGAAAUACAACCAUUCCUUAUGAUGUCGCGUUCAUGCCGAUGAUAAAAUAGGUGCCAUGAACAUUGUUCCAAAUUUGAUUCCAGCUACCACAACCCUUGGCAUGCCGUACAGCUGGAAGAAAACAGAAGGUGAUAUGGCAAGACAGCCACAUCUAACCAAACACUAAAACUAAAUCUAACAAAAACAUCUUACUCAUAUUUAAUUUGUAUUAGGUGGGUCAGAAGUUAGUAUUAUGUAAUUGUAAAAUAGAAACCCAAUUUUAAGCACUAUCAUUGCAAGCACCUGGAGAUUAAACUUCCCCAGAACUAUAAAAAAAAAAAAAGAAAAAAGAAAAAAGAAAAAAAAAGACAAUUUAUCAAAAAAUAUAAUAGCCCUAAACCAUUCCCGAUUUUUUUUUUGCCCCAAACCCUUCAAUGACGAUGAACAGGAGAGUUUAGACUAAAGAGACUGCAGCUUGAUGAAUGGUUGCAUUAGAUAAAUGAGGGAAGGCCCAAGAUGAAUUAAUGUAAUCAUAAACUAAUGUAGUAUUAAGGUUCUCUGACAAAUAAGCUUCAAAAACCAUUAAUUUACUAGAUAGUGGAUACGCUUCGUAAAUUAUAUGCAUAAAGAUGGCCAAAAUUUAAAGUGUUCAAUAAAAUUAGGGACAGACCCUCCUAGUGGCAAGGAAAUUGUCAGACACUAGGUGAUGGGGCUGCCCAAGUGCCUAGUCAAGACUGCCUAGGCAGCCACCCAUAACAGUCUUGCAUGCAAGCACUGUAAUCUAUGGUAACUUAACCAUAAUCGGAGAAAUAACUUGAUAUUUUAAAGUGCAGGAACACCUGAUGCCUAAUUUUCAUAAUUCCCUUCUUUGUUUCUUCUCCCAAGUUUUACAUCAUAGGCAAGCUAAAGCCCAUUAUUUUGGCAAGUUUAUUGGGUCAAAAUCCAAAACCUUUUUUUUCCACACCCUACAGAAACUAUUUGGCUAUAACUAAAAUUUUUUCCUUCAUUAUUUCAAAAAAUUGACACUGAGCAAAUGAAAAACCACUAUGUUGGCAUGCAUGAGUGCUUCUUACAUUUGUUUUACAAAUACCUUGAUAUAAGUCUUGGAGCAAAUUGGAGUGUCAGACAUCUAUAUAUAGAUAAAGCGGUAUUUCUUUAGUUUUCAUAUGGAGCUCUACUUCAUGAAGCCUUACCAUACUAAUGAAGCAAGCUGGUCUCAGUAUUGAAACCAUGAAGAACUCUGAAAAGCUAUGAUCACAAAAUAACCUGAAAAAACUGACAAGAUGGAUUCAAAUACAUGCGAAAUCAAGCUUACAAUUAGAGUUUUAGGGAUGCAUAACAAAUGAGAAAUAUUCCAUAUUCAUGAUACUGCUCAAUCAAGUAAGUCAACAAGCUACCUUAUGAGCUAAAGGACAACAAAUGCCAAAGGAGGAGAAGCUUAAAUGGAUACCCUGAAGUUAAAAACAUUAUAUGUAAAUCGUAAAGUCAAACAUGUGUGCAUUCCCUCCUUGAAGAUAGUUACAUAAUGGGACAUCUUUUAGUUUUGAAGCAUGGAACCUAAAACAAUCCUCUAGGUGCCCAUGUCUUAUAUUAGAAGAUUCAUGGGAUAGGUUUUCUAUCAAAGACCAGAGAUAUAAGGCAGUUAUUUAGCAUAUGAAGAAGCAUAGUAAACGGGAGCAUUCGAAAAUACAUUAGGAAAGGAACUGUUACUAAUAUCCCAUAAAUACCUUGAGGAAAAGAUCUGAAACACUUAAAAGAAACCAUCAACUAUGCAAUACAAGCUAUUAGAGUAGAAUAAGCACUUCUCAAGCAUUAGGUUUUGGAAGAAAGACCUGUCAAUGAAGAGAAAGCUAACUAUUCAAUAUUGAUCAAAUCAUUAGUGAACCAUAAUGAGUCUGUUGACCAAAAGGCAUAUACAUACACACCCUUCUCAUGUACAAACAUGACUGCAAGCAGAAUCCUGAUAAGUUAUUUAACUAACUCAAGGAGACUUCUAAUGUAAAUCAGGCAAUUCAUAUAAAGAUGUAAAAAUCUAUCACAAAGAAGUUCCUUAAGCAAAGGUGAUACUUGAAACUACAGAGCUUAGCAGGAUGACUAAGGAUUCAGCAUGUAGGGCUAAGAAAAUCAGGCAGGCGAAUCUCCAUAUGGCUAUGUAGCUGAUCUUACGUGGUCCUUGGGCUAGAUCUAAGUAUUCACUCUAACACCUUCCCAAACCAUUAAAGGGAAAAGGAUAUUCAUCUUUAAUCACAAAACAACUAACAAAUUCUUCAUAAGGCUAAGCUGUAAGAACACAUGAACAUGGUUACGUGCAUCACUCGUUACUUGCUACUGUCCUCUUCGUGUCCUGGGAUUGAAAUAAGUGACUGAAGGCAUUAGCACUUUGUUUCUUCAUCUUCAGGCUGAACUUCUCUUUUAGUUGCUCCCUUAAUUUAAGAAAUUCUUGUUCCUCCAUGGUCAUCUUUGGAGCUUCUGGUUCAUGUUCUUCUUCUGGUUCAGAACCCUCCUCCUCAUACUCAUCAUAUUCUUCUUCAUCAUAAUCUUCCUGAACUCUCUGAUGCAAACCCUGCACGGCAAAUUUUUCUUUUUAAAAAAGUUGCAUUAUCACCAAUGAUUACUGAAGCAUAUGUUUAGAAUGUCAAAAGAAGUGACUUUUAGACAAGAUGACAUGCCACCUAAUAUUUUAUGAACAAGCACCUCCAUAAUUAAGUUAAUUGUACAUUUUGUAGCUUACAGUUCUUUCAUGGUCCUACAUUCUUUGUAUGAUCUCCAAGUAGCAAACAAGCUCAAAUUGCAGAAGAACAAUUAGCACAUAAAAAUUUCUGGAAACAUGGGCUUCCAAAAAAAUAUCAAGCAAUUGGAUGCUAAGGACCAUUGCCCCAAUCCCCCUCUUCUUGCAAAAACCAAAAAGAAUUUUUAAAAAAAAGGGACAAAAAAAAAACUUUUUUGUGCGAGAUUUCUUUGUCUAUAAUGACUUGCUCGAUCAAUAAUGCAAUAUCAUUGAUGAUAAAUUUAUUUAUAUAGAAAGAAACUGUGAAACCUAUUCUCGUCUAAUUUUUCUCAGAAACAUGAUCCGAAACCAAGAACCCCAAAACGACUACCAUAAAUUGAAGAAAAAAAGAAAGAUCAAAUCAAAAGAAGAAAAGUAACCCAAAAAUGUAUCUUGAGCAAAAUUGAAGACAAAAGAGAGAGAAUUGAAACCUUACCAUGAAUUCGGAAAGAAAAGAGAGAAUAUCGGUAAUGGAUCGGGGAGGCGGAGGCAAGGAAACGGAACCCGGGCGGCGGCUGAUGGCGGAUCGCCGGUGGAUCAACUAGGGAACGAGUUUGCCCCAGAACACACGACAGAGAGAAGGAACACAUAAAGGAAGGUAUCCGUUUCUCUAAUACCGGAUUGGCGCGUCGAACUCCCAGUCCUAAUCAAAUUCGACCUUCCGGAGUCUUUCACGUGCACUGCACGUGAUAUUUUAACGGAUGGUUAUGGCGCCCCACUCCGAGUAAAAAUAUAUUUUUCUUGCUAUGUUUUCGUAAUAGACUAAUAAAUACACUUCCAAUUUCCAAGUUAUCUUUUUUUUUUUUUUUCCAAUCAUAUGAAUUAAAUUACCUGGCUUCCCCACUCCUCCAUUAGAUCGGAAAGAGCAGUGGAACCCCUCAAAAGACAGCCGAGAAGCAUCAUUAAAAAGUAAGGAGAAAACGCUCGGUUCAAUGAUUUAAGCAUUGGCCUAGUGGUCAUAGCCCUUACAAACAGGAUCAAGAUUUCAAGUCUUGAGUGAUGCAUCCUUCAAGAAUUGGCCUCGAACAAAAUUAGUUUUGUAAGCCCUUCCAUGCCAUGUCUUUUUUUUGUCCUAAAGAAACUACUAUUUAGGACUUAUCAUAUCUAAGGGUGUAAAUCGUACCUAAAAACUCAACAACCUCCCUUUAUUAUUUUAUAAUAAUUAGGAAUGGAUCUCAAUUAAAUUUUCAAAAUUGAAGUUGAAUUCUCUAUAUAGGAUCUGUUCUCUUAUCAGGUCAAACUUGGAAGUAGCAAUGUUCGAACCGAAAACCCAAUAACCUGAAUACAUGUAUACAAACCAUAUAUAUAGUAUAUAUAAAUAUAGGAACAUAAAAGAAUUGCCUACAUGUGCUGAUUCAUUUACUUUGGUUUGUUUGCUUAACCAGUUUUAUCAAAAUUAAUAUAAAAAAAAAAAACUCAAAAUGAAUGAGGUUUUGACUAAAAUAAUUGUUGGGCUAUUUUUCAUAAACUUGUUUUGCUAAAAGUGAGAGGCUAUAAAAUUUUCAAAAAUGAGUUUUAUAAAAAGCAAGUCUCACCAUAUUUUCAUAAAAUGCAAGUUUCCAUCAACUUAAUUGCAUUUACACCUUUUUCUCAUACAUAUUCUUCUUAACUCUCAUCCGCUACUAUUUUAGUUCUAAAAUUCAAGUCGAUACUUAGAUUUUGAUUUUAUUAUAGUCGAAUAAACAUAAACUUAAAAUUUAAAUCUAUUUUAGAAGUGAUCAUAUUAUUUUUAUAAAUUCAGUGAUCUAGCUACUUCCUAUAUUGUGCUCCUUUCUCAUCGCACCACAAAGUUAAUUAUAUAUGGAGAACCAUUAUGAUAAAAUUCUUUUAUUUGGAAAAAAUAUUAACUCUUGGCUAGUUGAUCCAUUAAAAUCAUGUGCAAAUUAAACUUCAAAAUAACUCAAUUUUGAAAUUCAAGCCAAUUAUUAAUCGAGGUUGGAUAUGAGUCCAAAUCCUACUCAUUUUGAUGGAUUUGAAUUCAAAUCCAAAUGUAAUUUUUUUUUAAUCAAAUAUAUAUGUAGAUGCAAUAUCGAUCUAACUAAAAUAUAGCAUGUUUAUAAUCCUACUCAUAUCAUAUGUGAGACAAAAGAUUAAAGUAACCAUCAUAAAAUAUACAGUACAAAGUAGAGAAAAAUAAUAAUGUAAGGUUAGAAAGCUACAAUUGGGAAGGGACUAAUAGACCUCACUGUAAUGACAUCUUUAUUCCAUACUUGGGUACUAUAGCUUCAGGUUAUAUAUGGAUACAUCUCACCCAAUAACAUUAGAUUUGCAUGAGAUUUGGAUAGGAUAUAUUUGGCAGACUUGCACAAACAGAGAAGAAAGAAAAUGCAAUAUUAUGUAUAUCAAAUUAAAUCUAGAAAAAAUGGACGAAACUUUUUUCUUAUUUAUUGCUGAGAAUCGAAAAGACAAUACAAAUAUAGGGAGAGAUAAAUUUUGUACCUUGUAUCCUAAUGCUUCACUUGGUCCUUGGUUAAAUCCUAAACAAGAGUUACUUAUCCAUUUAACUAGAAAAACAGUCUUCCUUUUUGGCUAGUUAAAUUUAGCUGGUCAACACACUUAAAGGCUAACAAUGAUUAAAGUUAUUUCUAGAAUUAAAAAGGAAAGAAAUUUUAUCUAGUUGAUUAAGUCUCCUACCUCCUUAUUUUCAUUCUAACAAUGCCAUUAGGUUUUUAACUCUCCUUUUUUUUACUAUGACUAAGAUUGUUGGCAUGGUUCCUUUUUUACUAUCCUCUUUUUCUUCUUCUCGGCUCUUAAUCUCGAUGGUAUCAUGUAGUCUCUUUCAUCUUAGUCAGUUCCUCGUGACUACUAUGAUGCUAUUGGUUAUGUUGGUUGCUAGAGUCUUGCUUUAUUUUUUAUUAUUAUUUUCGAUACUCACUGAUGCUUGCUUGUUUCAAUAAUUCAUAGUUUAUUCCAUUACCACCAUUAUUAGCAAUAGAUCUAUCCUCCCUAUCUCACCUAAGGCUAAUUGGUAGUAGAAAUAUAAUUUAAGUCUUGAUAGAGUGUAUGGAUAGGGGCUUGAUAGUGGUGGCUACAAUAUUUUUUCGACUUCUAAAGUUGUCCUUCCAUCACUGAUAUUAUUUUAUUUCAACCCAAUUACCUCUCUUCACGGUUACCCUCUUCUAUAUGAUGAUUUGCUUAACAUCUUGGUCUUGUGGAACCAAGGUAGCAUUUAUGAAUCUUAUGGAUGUUUGAGCAAUUAUUAUCAUGGUUUUGAUGAAUGUACUUUUUUUUUUUUGUGAUGUCUAAUAUUAUGCUAGCAUGUAAGAAAUUUAUGUUGAUUAUUUUGAGCAUCUAAAAUAUUUUUAAUGCUCUAUCUCGGAUUGGAUUGUAACUUGGAUAGCUUUUAAGCAACCAAUGCAACCCAAAGAUUUUGGCUAUGAUGACAUGUUAGCAUUGGAUGGAUGCAUCUUUGCAUGACACUUAUGGUGCAUCCGAUCCAUGAAUAUAUGCCUUAAAAAAAGAAAAUUAUGAAGUGCAAAAUAUAUAUGAUUCAUAUAAUAGGUAAUGAUAUAUAUAUAAUUCAUAUAAUAGGUGAAGUCCUUAGCUUUUUUUAUUCAAAUGUGAGUAAUGAAAAAAGGCAUUGCUGUUGAUGCAGCACAAAAAUGGACUUUAACCAGGCUUUUUACGGCAAAACCUAUAUAUGUCAUCCAAGCCAAAGGGUAUAGUUAAUUGAGCAGCAAUGUAGUGCCAGUGCAUGCCAUUAUAUAUUCUAGUUAUAAGGAUUCUCUUCAUUCAAAUACACAAGGUGUAGAGAGUGCUAUAUAUUUAUAUGAUACAUAAUAUGUAUGUUAGGUAAAAUUAUUAGGUGUGGGUUGGGUCCAAGCAAAAAUAUAUAUUCAUUCCAUAGGCUGCAUAAUGAUUUACAAGGUUCAAAUAUAAUAUUUUUCAAACCAAAUAUACACCUAAAUUUUGUACUUGAUCAAUACCAAUUCCUACCUUUUGAUAUAAACAAAGCUUUAGCGGACGGGUAUAUAUCUUUCUAAUUUUAGAAAUAAAAUCAGAUAGAAUAAAAUCCAAACAUCUUACCAUCGAAAUAAGCCACCAUGAUAAUCACAUGUAAGCAUAUCAUAUUUAAGCCCUCUUAUAGUCAAAGGAUAUAGUUUGAUCUUAUUUAAUAAUAUUUUUUUAUGCAUGGAUUUUGAUUUUUAUAAAUGUGAGUCUUUUCCAUUGUCAAUGAAAAAUAUACUAGGCGAAUUAAAAUUUAUCUCAUCAAUUUUUUUUGAAAAAUUGAUUUUACUUCAAUCAUAAAAAUCUCAAAAAAAAAUUAAUGAGAAAUAUUCAAUUAAGUUUAAAUUUAAAAAUAGCUAUCCACUUAAGUUUUAAGCAAAAAUUUUUUUCUAUUUGAGACAUAACUUAAAACCAACUACCCAAAUAAAAUGAAAUGACCUAAUUAUCUUUGCAGUUAUAAAACAACACUACAUUAUUAUAAAAUAAUACUGCAUCAUAAUAAAAGCAAUACUAUACUAUUAUAAAGUAAUAUUAUACUAUUAUAAAGUAACACUGCAUUAUUGCAAAGUAAUACUAUAAUAAAAAAAAUAUUAUACUAUGAUAAUGUAACAUUGUCUUAUUGUAAAGAAAUAUUACACUAAUAUAAUACAAUAAAGCAACACUAUAUUAUUAUAAAAGAAUACUAUACUAAUAUAAUGUAAUACUAUCUUAUUGUAAAAAAAUACUAUACUAAUAUAAUAUAAUAAAAUAAUAUUAUAUUAUUAUAAAAAAAUAUUAUGCUAAUAUAAUAUAAUACUAUUUUAUUGUAAAAAAUACUAUACUACGAUAAUAUAAUACUGUAGUAUUUUAAAAGGUAUAAGAUAUAAAAAUAAUUUCAUCUAGAAAUAGAUAGUUGUUUUUAAUUUAUGUUUGAAAUAAAUAAUUAUUUUUAUAUAAAAUUUAUUUAAAAAUUUAUUUUUAAAUUAAAAAUAAAAAUAAUGAUUCAUCUUUAAUUAUUUAAAAAAAAUAAUUUUAAAUUUUCUCUUGCAAUGUGCAUUUAUAGGGAGGUUCCCAGCCAGAUGGUACGGUCCCUUUUCUUUUACCAAGAAAAAGUAAAGAAACAACGACAUAAGAAUGUAAGAUAUGGCAGUUAAUCCUGAGGCGCGCGCAUGGGACGCGUCCAGGACCAACUUAAGUUGCCGGACGCCAGCUCGACGCGUUAACAGUGGAAUCGUUACGCUGGAUGGGAGGGAGAGCCGGCACGAAAGGCCGAGCAGGAGCGAGGAGGAGAAAGAAAGGGUGAGAGGGCGAGAUGGCAGGGAUGGGGAUGGUUACGUGGGCAUCGCCCUGGACGCGGUGAGGAUUCGGAGGCUGUAGAAGCAGCGCGACGUGGAGCGGCUCAAGAUUCAGGAGCUCAAGAACAAAUCCGCCGCUGCCAGCGGCCAGACCGGCCUCCUCCAGUUCGGCUUCGGCACCUCGGAGGUAUCAAUUCCCCACCAUCGCGGGCUUUAAUUUCUUAUAUAAUUUUUUUUCCUCCAUGAGAAGUGGAGCCCUAAAGUUUAGGUUUUGGUUCUGAACUUCUCAGUUUAUCCCUAGAGAGGGAAAAAGAAUAUCUUUUUCUUUUGUUUGAGAUUGUUUAUGUGAUAAUCUGGUCUCACGUGGGUCAUUAAUUUGAUGCCAAAAAAUAAUGAUGCAAUUUGAUGCCGAGCUGUAAUUCAUUACUCCAUGGGGUUAGGUUUUUUUUCCAGUUGACAGAAUAUUAAUUUGUUUAUAUGAUGAUUUUCUAGAAAUGGAAUUUUAUUUGUGAGAAGAAAAGAUAAAACUUGUUAGGUGAAAAAAAGAGAGGUUGAUUAAUAUUGAGUUGGUAAUUGCUGAGUGAGUACUGACCGGGAUAUGGUAGGAUCUAACUCACCGAACUAAAGAUAUUUCACUUCCGAUCAUUUUGAAUGUAAAAAUUGUCCAUUAUAAUGGUGAAUUCCAGCAUUCGAUUUGAAUUGUCUUUCUCCAAGUUGUUAGAUAAGGUAGCUUUCCCCUUGGAACUGUCUUGUGUUCGUAAGGGUAGAGGAAAAAGUAUUUUCCUUGCAGUUUUUUCCCAAGAUUCUUUUGUGUUAGAAGGGAAGUGCAACCCAGGAGUCUAUUCCACUAUCAAAUGCAAAGUAGUCCCCCCUUUCCCAUGCUCCAACAAAUAAAAAAAGAGGGACCCAUGAUAAUUCAUUUCAUUCACAAGGCAUUUGUCAUUGAGUCUCCAUGUUCCCUUUCCUUUUCGGAAGAUUGUCCCAAGUAAAGAUAUUUCCAAAGAUCACAAGCAACACAGAAGGCAUGAUUUAUUUUUGUUUACAGAAUAUUUGGGUUUUGAGCGGGUUAUGGAAUCCAUAAUGCUGGGUAUGCAAGGUUCUAACUUCUAAGUAAUGAUUUCUAUAUGCGAGAGGUAAGGCAGUGACCUAGAUGGGUGUCUUUGUGGUUCUUAUUUAGAAAAAUAAAAAUAAAAAAUUCAUUGUAAUAAAAAGAAAGUAGAAAUUAGAGUAAAAAGUUAGAGAUAUAAGAAAAAUCAAAGAGAAGGUAGAGGAGGAGGAGGUGGAAAGAAAAAUGAAUUAGGGGUGAGGAGAAAGCGAGGGGCAUAAAUAAGGAGGAAAACUAGCAAAGGAGGAUAGAUGGAGGAAAAAGNNNNNNNNNNNNNNNNNNNNAAAGAGAAGGUAGAGGAGGAGGAGGUGGAAAGAAAAAUGAAUUAGGGGUGAGGAGAAAGCGAGGGGCAUAAAUAAGGAGGAAAACUAGCAAAGGAGGAUAGAUGGAGGAAAAAGAAAAAUAAUUGGCUGGACUGUGCUCCACUGUUGCUUCUUUGUACACCAUCUCCAUAACUCCACCACCUCCAAUGUUUGCCAACUCUUGAUGCUUGUAGUCUACUGGAAUAAAUUGUCCACCUUUGUCUUCCUGUAUUGAUCUCACUGUGAAAGAUUAUACUGCAUACCAAAUCUGUGCACAGCCCAGUCGAAAAACAUCCCAUUUCUACCCAGCAUUUCUUCGCUCAGACCACAUAUGCAGGCACCUAGGCUUAUAUUACCUGCCUAGACAUCUACCCAGUCCUACUGCAUCGGGGGUUGCUUGGGCCCUAUGAAGGGCAGUCAGGUGCCUUUUGCAGGCACAUUGAUCGUUUUUAGAAUGGCAUGUUCACCAUUGUUAUUUUACCUAGAAUGAGAAGAGGAUUGACUGGAUACAGGUUGUGCUCAAAGUUUGGAAAAUUUUCUAUAGGCAUCAAACAGACAUCUAAUCUCUUAAAAUACUUGAGUGCAUUAGAUAUGUCCAUUAAAAACUGAAGGAAGACUAAAAUGUAUGGCUGGCUAUCAUUAUAUGUAACAAAGUGCCGUACAAUAAAUGGAGUCCCCACAUGAACAUUUUAAUAUGGCAGAGAUGUGAAAGCUAAGAUAAAUGCAUGGUAAGACUAUGAAAGAUAAAAGUUAGGAAAGGGGAAUUUGGAGGAAAAAAAGGUUGCAUCAGUAGAUGAAAAGAUUUUGAAUGCAAAUUGGGGUAAUAUGGUCAUAAGCAAUGUAGGCCAUUAAGGCAAGGGACACAUCAGAUAAAAGGGACAUGGAGCACUUAGCCUAACAUCUUUUAGACUGAUGACGUGAAGGAUUUAAAGAAGAACUUGAUGUAAUGGUUAACCUGACCUUUGGAUUCUCACUGAAUUGAAUAGGUGAAGUAUCCUGAGACUAUAUCCAAGUAAUUUUGAAGGUGUAAGGUGGAUGAGAUGAUAUGAAGUAUGGUCUGGUUUUGCUGUGGUUAUGGUUUUACUUCAUUAUUUCAAAGAUCUUUUUCCUCAUAUAUGCAUAUGUUUGUCUAGUUUUUACCAAUUCACCUACUCAUUUAAUUAUUUUUUUGGAUGGUUUUUCCCUCUACCUUGUGAUGUAACCAUGGAAUGUAAGCAAGAUUUAUGGGACAGUUGAUGUUAUGCUGGAAAAUGGUUGUGAAAUUCUGCUUAGGCUUUCUCAUGUCUUUUUAUUUUGAGGUGUCUUUAAUUUUAAAUUCAUCCAUAUCGAAGUAGUCUUGUUAUUAUUCCCUACCAAUUAGUGUUUUCCACUCCAAACUAAUCACUUAUGGGUGCCAAAAACUGGCCUUGAGUCUAAACAUAUGACUUUAGUUGUGUCUAGAUUAUGCUAAUGAAAGUACAUCAUGCAUUUCUUUUGGAAAAAGCUUAUGGUUGGUUGGACGAAGAUCAAGAGCCUAUAUAAAUCUAUACUCAUGGUGCUUAAGCAACUUGGCAUGUCUACCUAGGGUGUACUCAUUCUUGGUAAAUAUAACCAUAACCAUCAAGUUUUAUCCAUAUUAUCUGAGACUGGAUUCUUGAAUCCUAGCUUUUCUAUAUCUUCUCUUACAACCUCCAUCCAUAUCAUCUUAGGAAUUCCCUUCUCCUACAUCCUUCAAUAGAAAUUAAAACUCUUCUUAUUGUCACCCCUCUAGGUCUGUUGUACAUGCCCAUACCAUCUCAAACAAUUUUUGCUCACCUUGUUGUUAAUAUAUAAUAACGAAGUUAAGUUAUGAAUAUGAUUGGUUUAUUCAAUUUUGUGGGCUCCAAGUUUCUUUCACAUAGAUUCUAGAUUAUAUCAUCUUUCUUGUUUCUUCGUUUAUCCCUUUUUUUUUCUGUUUGGAUGUCCUAGUGUAGCAUUAUUGAAUUUUGCUAUUAUGUUACACUCCGCCAAAUGCAGUUCAUGUUGUUUUAACUUAGAAGGUUGUGAAUGCAAUGAUCAUCUAGGGCAAUUUGGAUCAUCCUUUUUUGUCUUCAAGAAUGUAUGGUCACUGAACUUUUGGAGACCAUCCCUAGGAGUCCAUUACCUUUUUCUCAUGAGCACUUUUGCUGGUGUUUUUUUUUUGGCACCAAAACCUGGUUUGCUGCCUGCCUUAAGCCAUAUGCUUCUAUUGGACUCUCAUGUUCAAAUUAGGAUUGGUUUUGGACAUAGAAGAAUUUUCUUCUUUCAGUCAUUAAGUUUUACCUAAAUCACAUAAUUUGAAAAAAAAACACUCUCUUUUAUCAACAGUUCAAUUUUCUGAGUCAGGUAAUCUUGAAUAUUUGCUGACAUAUAUUUUUGGAUGGGAUUUCAUAUUCUUGAGACUGCUUUUAAAAAGGAAACAGUCGGUCUAGUUACAAGAGAACAAUAUGUCAAGAAGGUAAGGGGGGCCUAUCUUUCAAUCGGUGUGAACUAUUAUCUCUCAUGGAGGUACAUUGGCAGAGAAAGCAAAUGACCAUGUUUAUCUGGUACUUAUGUCUUUUUUUUGUAUGAUUUUUUUUUUUGCUUUCUCUUUGGAAGAGGGUUAACAUCCGGAAUAAAAUUGAGGAGGAAGAGAAGGAGAAGCUUCAAAAAUUGCAACAAGAGUGAGUUCAGUCUUUGCAAAUUUAUUUUUUCGUGUGAUCUUAAGUACUCAAUCAUUUAUUAAUAACAUUGAUUUUUCAGGCUUACAACAUAUACAUGUAGUAUUGUUUGCUGUUCUUCUUGUUGUCGUAUUUGUUAUCAAUGUUGAUGCAAUUUGUCAUUAAUUGUUCAAAUUUAUAACUGCUGCUCCUGCUUUAGUUGUUCUUUGGUUUUGUCUCUCUGCAUAGACCAUCAAAAUUAACUUGAAGUUAGGAUCUCAUUUUAUCAUCAAGGUGUUGGAAUCUUAUCAAACUUGUCCUGGAACUUCUGAAUUACUCUAAACAUUAAUUGUUCCUGCCUACUCUUUUUUUUAGAACUGAUAAGUUUACCCUUAGCUUGCUAAUAAGGCUACAUAUUUUAAUAAGAAUAGCACAAGAGGAAGGGAAACAAACCAUGCAAACAUCAACUGGAAUUAGCAUCUAAUAUCUAUGGAGGCUGAACAUUUAAUCUAUUUCUUAAUUUUCUAAUAUCUAUGGAGGCUUGAACUCACCGGUCUUUGAGUAAUACAUCACCAUGAAAAUUUGGACCACUAAACCAUUUGGAUCUGAACAUAGCUAGAUCUAUGAUGGCUCAUGUAACCAUUUUUGUCACAUCUGGCUUGUAAGCUGUAGAUAAGAUAUCAGCUCUCAUUAUUUUAGCAGACAAACAAACCUUUGUUGAGAUAUCAACAGUACUAUGCUAAUUCCUAAAAGUUAAUAUUAGUGCACAGGUCCACAGGAUGAUAGUCAGCAUCAAAUUUUACUGUAGUGGUUGAAAUUUCAAAAAUCUGGGUUGUUAAAAUUUCAUCAGCCUUACAAUUCAACUAAGAUAGAAUUCCCUUAAAAUAAAAAAUAAAAAACAAAGCAAUUAAGAUAUAUAAAUGGAUCUUGGUUCAUCUCAAUAUCAGUGAGCACAAUGUGAAGGUUGGGAUAUUAAUUAUUCCAAAACCUCAUAUCUAACAAGGAAUUUGAUCGAUCUGACCCCUCAGCCAAUCUAGGCCUAGAUUUAGGAUGAUGAGCAACAUGUAGAAUAACACGCAAUGUUUGAUGUGGAGGAUUCACAAAACCUUUCCCAAAUGGUUGGGAAGAGGUGCAUGGUUAAGUUUAUGGUUGUGAGUUUUAGAACUAUUUUCUAAUAUGGCCUAGAUUAUCAUUAAUUAGGAUCUCGCAAGAACUUUGUUUUGAUAAAACCUAAACCAUCCUUAAAAGCUUUUCCAAUCAAGUUGUAAUUCCUAAUUACAUAUGGAAGGAAACUGGAAUCUUGAUAGAAGUGGGAUUAUGAAGGAGGGAGAUACAAUAACAGCUAUUCGAAAGAUGGCCCAAUGAAACAGAUCCCACCAGUUCUCUCAUUGUAGUAGGAAGGUGAGCAAACAAAAGAUCAGAUCACCAUGCACACAUUCAGCUACAGCUUGGAAAGCAUGGGACAAGAAGGAAUUUACGUGGGUCAUUAAUUUGAUGCCAAAAAAUAAUAAUGCAAUUUUUAAUUAAUGUUAUUAAUUUCAGCAGCAACUAGCACCUGAGUUUCGAGAGAUAUGCAUAACGUCGGUGGAGAACCUUCUCUACGUGAAAGAAGAUCUGAUCAUUCCUCAUGUAUUUUUUUUAUUAUUAUUGUUGGUUUGUAGUCUUUUCCAAAGUGUGGUUAUUGGUACGAUUAACCUUCCCAAUUCCAUGUAUUAGAAAUUUCAGCAACACAGUUUCUACGAGUUAAUUAUCAACAAAGCAAGGGGGAAAAGUGGACUGGUAAUGCUCGGUCUUGCAAAUAAUCAAUUUUGACUUGCAUUUUUCUUUGUUAUCUUAGUGGAGAUUUCUAGUAAACUAUUCCUAUUUACAGUAGGCAAGAAUUCUUUUAUCUUGCUCUUAGGUAAAGCUUUUUUUAUGUAAAAAAAAAAAACUCUGGUAUAUCCAGAAAAAUGGAAUUUACCUCUAGCUGAAUGCUAGCCUCGUUUUGUUAUGAUGCGAUGUUUCAUCUAUAUCAUAGAUGAAUUCUGUAUAACCUACAAGAAAAAUCCAUUAUUGUAAUUUUUGCUUCGAUUAUUUGGGGAGUUUUCUUAUUAUAUUUGCGAGCCAGAAAUAUUUACGUAACUUGCUUGGCAUUCUCCAUUGUCUCUUUUGAGCUUUUUUUAAAAUAUUUUUUUUCCUUUUUCCUAAGUUUAUGUCAUAUCUCUGGCAUCUAAACUUGAAUAUGUAACCCCUGCAUGUCAUGAACCGUAUGAGAUUUCAGUCUUCCAAUCGUGUCAACUAGCAGAAGUAAUAAUCAAGCUUGCAUGAUGUUGCAGUUUUCCCCUUGGUUCCUAGAGGAGGAGGGGGACAAAAGAAAGCCUUAACCUUUGAUCAUGUAAACCAGCAUUCUCAGUUUCAUUCUCUCUCUCUCUCUCUCUGUGUGUGUGUGUGUGUGUGUGUGUGUGUGUGUGAUUCCCUCUCUCUCUAUGAUUUGCUUGAUUGAACCAGUCUCCUUUCUGGAAACUUGGCAGGUUUGGAAGUGUAUGGUAUUAACUCUUGAUUUCUUGUUUGCAGCUUUUCCACUUUGAUGUUCAUGAGAAUGUGAGAACAAUUGCUGAUGCAACAAUAGAGAAAGAUGAGGUAUGUCAUCCAAAUUUAGCCAGCUAUCAACUUUCUUUAUAAAUUUGAACUAAGUAAUUUAGACAUUAUUAUUUUUGGCCUCUUUCAGUGAAUGUUUACUUGAUUUGAUGUUAUGUCUUGAUUUCAAACCUUGAAAUUUUUCUUUGCUUUUGGUUGAUGUACUCAAGUACAGGCAACACGAGAGAGUCUGUGGUGUUUUGCGACCUUGAAAAGCCUUUAUGCUGAAUGUAAAUUCUCAUUAAUGUAUGCACUUAUAGAAGUAACAUUCUAUGCUGUAAAAUAACUAGUAACGCUGUUUUUUUGAUUGAGAAAAAAGAAGGGAAGAAUCACCGGGUGUAAAUUUCCCAGAUUCAAAUACUUGGGGAUGCACAUGGCUGCAUGCGAACCAAGCUGUUCAUGAACAGCUUGGGCUUCACUCAGUAAUAGGCUUGUUUGAGCUCAGUUUGUCCAGAAAACCAGCUGAACUCAAAACAUUUCUCAGAGCUUGGCUCAAAAACGAGCUGAGCUUGAAAAUCUUAGGCUUACAAAAAUCGAUAAUGAACUUUGAAGAUGAGGAGGAGGUCUGAAAAUGAGUAACCACACCUUUUUUUUUUUUACUUUGAUCAACUACGAAUAUUUACUGAACAUGGGCGUGGAUUUUCUUCAAGACUCCAUUUAUGAAUUGGCUAAACUGUGCUAAUGAGAAUUUCGUCUCACAUGCUGCCAGUCUCACGCUGGAAAGGUUGUUGAGAGGCACCGGUACGAGAAAAACAAGCACAUCUUGCCUGCCUCAAUAUGGGAGGUACAUCUCUUCGUCCUGUUGUAUGCUUGUUGCUGUUUAACGUGAAUGUAACUGCAGACUAGAUUUCUGACUUUGGGGAGGAUUGGCAUGACUAUUUUGCUUCUUAUAUUUUCUAUGGGCUGCUCUAAAUUGUAACCAUUCUUCUCUCUCUAUCUCCAGAUAUAUGAUCCAACAAAGAAGUGGGAUCGAUACACGAUUCCUAGAAAAUGGAUUUAAACCAUGACUAACUUGCUGAGUCAAGUUAUAUUUAUCAGGAAAAGAAAAGCCUGUUUUCCUACAGAGGCUAUGACGCUGAAUGCCAUUUUUCCUUUUUGUCUUGUAUUGUAUUGAAGGUCACAGUACUUUCUAACCGUUUUAAGUGGUACUGAAGAUUACAGCUGGAUUUGUAAAUUUUUGCUGGUACCAGCACUGUACCAUAUUAGACAUUAAAUUCAAACGUCAUUUACUCGACUAUCAUGAAGCUCACUCAAAAACGCAAGUCUCUUCUUUUCCUGUCAAUUUCCAGCAUGUCCUUGGAAGCAUGGUCGAGACUCAGGCAUUCGACAAUAUUCAGCUAGAUGCGAAAAUUCGGAGUCUGGGGAAAAAAGACAGAAAUUCUUCAAAUGUUCAGAAAAAAACUUGGCUAACUAUUUCUUGGAAAAAAAUUCACAAACAUAAAGAACAUGGUUAUUGAAAUAUUUAUACAUAUAUCCAUAUCGAAAGGUAGAAGUGUCGUUAAUUUGCACUUCAAGUUUCUUGAGUUAGGGGCGAAUAAUUUGUCAAUAAAUCGUAAAAUCUUUUUAUUUGGGUAUAAAUAUAAAUCGUAAAAUCUUUGAAAAAUUUGUGACCACUUCAAUUAUUCUUGAUUUGCCUGUCUACCGUGAAAAUGUGGUUAGGAACGUCUCCAAUAUCAUCGUAUAUAUCCCUAAACUGGCUUAUCAUGGCCUUUUUUUCUUUUUCUUUUGCCUGCUCACCUUGACCAGGUAGCUGGAAUGUCCCUUGCUACGAAAAUUAGACGGAUCUUACCGUGGAGGAGACUUGACUCAACCUGAGCCCAGUGGGUCAUCGGUCAGAUCUAGAUAUAAAACGUAGACCAAAGCAGGGCAAAUUAUAUCCUGCACGGCAUGCUUCACUAUAGCUGCAUUCCACACCAAUCAGAUCAUAAUCACCGAGACAAGCGCACGAUAAACGAUCGGACGCCAAUCACACUUGCAUUGCUACCAGCGCCAUGGCAUUGAUAGGAAACUUUUGGUGUGAAUUUGGGGCACCGCAUAGCAUCUCUAUGGAAGCUGCUCAUUCGUAUGCUUUUGUUAAAAAGACCGCACAAAAAACGGAGAAUUUCUAGAAAAAUGAAUCCCUUGGGCCUUGGCAAGACAGCAUUAAUGCCUUCCCAAUAAUUUAGUCAAUAAAAAUAUAAUUUGAUGUAACAAUAUAGGUUAAAUUCAUCUCACUUGCUCAUAGUUUUUGACUUUUCAUAAAAAGAAAUGGUAGAAUUUGACCCAAUAAAAGCCAAUGACGGAGAGAUUGUCCCAAGGAAAGGAGCAAAGGAAGAAAAAUGCAGGUAGGGUUGAAUAUCUAAUCCACGAGCGUUUUGGACAUGAUUUGGUCCGCCUCAAACCACGGAAACUCAGAAAUCUAAAAGCUAAUUAGCAAUUACAAUAUAUUUUUCUACCAACUCUAGUCAAAAAGCAAUCGAUUUCGUCCUUGCCGGUGCCAUCGAAAUCCAAUGAGCAAUUUACUUGUAAUUUUGUGGAAGAACUAGAAAGGAGUCAUCUUUCUUUCUUUUUUAUUAAAAAGGACAAAAUCAUUUUCUUUUCCUAUUUUUCCCUCUCAAAGUCAGCCGUUUACACAAUUUGCUUUCCAAGUAUGGAUUCUCUCAAGUUUGAUGACCAAAAUUGGUGCGGUCCAUUUCACCAUCAAAGCCGCUCGCUCGUGUAUUGUAGGACAGCCGAUGAUGCAUUGAGAUUCAUGCACUACACGGUACCUGAUGCAUCAUGGACCAUCCUGCAAUACACGGCAUGGUAAAACCGGAUGAGAGGAUCGGACUUCUUAUUUUUUGGUAUUAACUGUUGGUUUCUCUUCUGGUAGUGAUCAUCAACUUUUGUGGAUGGUUUAGCCUUAGAUGCUUAUUUCUUUUGGUUUUCAACCAUGUCCUCCUUGUGCACACGUCGCACCGCAGAGUACGGAGCAGUCAUAGAUAGCCGCCAUCAAAGGAUGGACAACUAAGUUGUACAUGGCAUCGCCUAUGCUCGUGUUGCCACUAAUUUUGCCGCCAGGGAUGCAAGUCUUCCUCAUAUAGUCCCCUUUUAUCAGACCCAAAAUUUUAUACUUUCUAUAAUUCGCUUUAUGUAUCUUUUGUUUUUUUUUUUUCUUUUUGGGUAAAGCCAUUUAUGUCUCUUUCUUUUUUUUUUUGGUAGGAAAGCCCUAUAUGUUUCUUUAACAUGUUUGGUUUUUCAAAACUUCUCGGCAUGGUAGGUUUGCUAAUCAUGAAGAUAUUCUAUAGUGGCUACCUACUUAUAUAUAUAUAUAUGUGCUAAAGCCAUUUGAUAGAUUGAUUGCAUUUAUACUUCUCCAUACCUUAGUACAUGUGAUGUACAUCAGAAUGCACAAAUAUAAUAACUUUUCAACUAACUUACAAAAUAUUCUUAAGAUUAGAGAUAAAUUAUACUUACAGCAAAUAAUUUCAAAAACCUAUACUUAUCUUUUUGAGAUUUAUUCUUAUCUAAAUAUAUCUAAAUACCAUGUUAGAAAAAAAUUUAGGAAUGGCCAAAAUAAUAUUAAAUGACAUAAAAAAUAUUCAAAGAUAAUUUUGAUUUUUUACAUGAGAUAAAUAAUUUUACUAAUAUUGUUAAUUAUUGGAUGUAAGUGUAGUAACUCCGAAAUAGACGUCAAACAUCCUAUCUGUUAUUGCGAGGCUCAAAAUCUCAGAUGAAAAGAUUAGAUUAAGCCAUGCUAGAAUGGCUGUGGCGAUCCAAUUCAAGUCUCCUUAAAAAAUCCUACAAAAUAAAUUAACAAAUUGGAUAGUGAUCCUCCAGUUCUUGACCCUCCAACGCUCAAAUCAGUUUAAACCUCGAGAACCAAAAGUAAAAAAAUGGAAGAAUAGAGAGCAGGAGGGUUGUGAGGAGCUAUAGAUUUUAUGACUUCGUGGGAGCUACAGUCCCAACUGCAAAGUCUUCUUCUAGUUUGAGCUUGGAACUUGAGAGUCAGAACUUAUCUGGAGGAUCCCUUAGCCCUCUAUUUAUAGAGAGGCUGAUGAGGUCGUUGGAAGAGUUUGUUAAGCUGUUAGAGGUCAGCUGUAGAGCUUGUUAAGUCGUUGGAGGUCAGCUGUAGAGUUUGUUAGGCCGUUGGAGGUUAGCUGUCAGUGAGCUAGAGCAUAACUACAUAUAUUAGCUAGAAAUGAGGUCAUACUUAGCUGUAUGUGUCAGUUGGAAAUAAGUUAUAGUACAGCUGUAUGUGAGAUCGUGGUCAAUUGUAGCUUAAUUGUAAAGAUCAUGGCGGGCUUUAACAUGAUGAUUGUGGCUGUUAAUGUAAUUGUUCACCUCGAUAAAAUAUCGGGAUGAAAUCAAGUAUCAUAUGAGAUCUUGAACGUCUCGAAAAUAUAUAAUACUUCACUUCAGGUCGGUAUUUAUAUGAGCUGAAAUGAGUCAGAUCAAUAUUCAUAUGAUCUGAGAUGAGUCAGAUCGGUAUAUCUAUAAGCUGAUCAUAAUACUUCACCAGAAGUCAAUUCAAGUAAUUCAGAUCGGCUUUAUAUGAACUCAGCCUCCAAUUCAGGUCGGCUUCCUUAUAAGCUCAGUCUCUUAUUCAGGUCAGUUUUAUAUGAACUCAGUCUCUAAUUCAGAUUGACUUCACAUAAACUCAGCCUCCAAUUCAGGUUAACUUUAUAUAAACUCAGCCUUCAAUUCAAGUUAGCUUUCUAGUAACUUCAGCCUCUUGGUCAGGUCGGAUUUUUGGUGACCUCCAGUUGAGGUCGAUUUUAUGAUGAGCUGAGAUGGAUAACCCCCAUAAUAUUUGCCUUCCACUUCUAAGUCUCAAAAAUUUAUUUUGGACAAAAGAAGCAACCUAAGAAAUAAGUUUUCAGCUUGUUCGAGGUGACGAAUUUGAUCCAUUUGGUUUUUCAAGUGAACUGCUUGCAGUCUUAAGUAGAUCGAAAGAUAUCCUCAAUCCGAAGAUUGAUAUUUAGUAGAACUUCAAGAUAACUUUGUUCCGUAGAUCAAUAAUAGAAUUUCAAGAUAACUUUGAUCCUGAGGUCGGUAUAACCUUGACUCUAAAGUCGGUAUUUUGUAAAGCUGAAAGAUAAUUUUAACCUUCAGAUCGGCAUUGAUAGGUAACCUCGACCUUCAGAUCGAUAUUUGAUAGAACUGAAAGAUAAUCUCGAUCUUCAGAUCGAUAUUUAAUAGAACUGAAUGAUAAUCUCGAUCUUUAGAUCGAUAUUUGAUAGAACUAAAUGAUAACCUCGACCUUCAAAUUGGUAUUUUAUAAAAUUGAAAGAUAACCUCGACCUUUAUGUUGGUAUUUGAUAGAAUUGAAUGAUAACCUCGAUCUUCGGAUCGAUAUUUGAUAUAAAUCCAAGAUAACUUCUACCUUGAUGUCGGUAUUUUAUAGAUAUCCUCAACCUUCACAUCGGUAUUUUAUUGAACUAAAAAAUAACUUCGACCUUCAGAUUGGUAUUUCAUGAAACUAAAAGAUAACUUUGACCUUCAGAUUGGUAUUUCAUUGAACUGAAAGAUAACCUCGACCUUUAGAUCGAUAUUUGAUGGAAUAUCAAAAUAAUUUUGAUCCUGAGGUCAGUAUUUGGGAGAUCUUAUCUCCAUUGUGUCUCUCAGAACUUUAUCAAUUCGGAUUGAAUUUUGGAGAGAUCUUAUCUUCAUUUGGAUCUCUCUGGAUUUUACUGAUUUGGAGAUCGAAUUUUGGAAGAUCUUAUCUCUAUUUGAGCCUUUAGGGGGCUCUACCACUUCGGAGAUUGGAUUUAGAAAGAUCUUAUCUCUAUUUGAGCCUCUCAGAGCUCUACCAAUCUGAAGAUUGGAUUUGAAGAGAUCUUAUCUUUAUUUUGAUCCUUCAGAGCUCUACCAAUUUGGAGAUUGAAAUUUUGAUGAUCUCGACCUUCUGAUGAAGUCGGCCCUUCUCUGAUCUUUUGAUGAGCUCGACCUCCUGAUGAGGUCAGCUUUCUGUUGAGAUUGAUUUUUUCCUAAACUAGUCCUCCUGAUGAGUCUCUGUUGACUAUUCUAUUGAGAUUGAUUUUUUUUUGAACUAGGCCUCCUGAUGAGCCUUUGUUGACCAUUCUGUUGAGAUCGGUAUUUUCAUGAGCUCAGUCUUUAUGCUUCUAAUGAGGUCGGCUUUAGGCUUCUUGAAGAGUCUCUAUUUAAUAUUCUCCUUAUUUUUGGAUUUGAUACUCUUUUGUUUCGACUGAUAUACUCAAGAACCUGUCAUCCUGCAAGAAAGGAAUAGAAUAAUAGAUUGGGCUUGAGAGUCUAUUACCAUAGAGGUUGUGUAUUCUGCUUGAGAGCCUUUUGGUUUUGUUGACUCCUCAUUCUCCGUCUCAGCUAGGACUUGUUAUUGCUUUAUGUUGGUCUAAUUUUGACUCUGCUUUAACUGUGAUUUUGAUUUUGACUUAGUCUAGAAGUUUUUUUCCUUUGAUCUGUUCGGCUCAGGCUUGAUCUGUGCUUGAAAUUAUUUUAAUUUUGGGUGGAGAUCAGGCCCUCUCCCCUUUCUUUCUUCUUUCCUCCCUUUUUUUCUCUUUUCUUCUUUUUUUUUCUUCUUUUUCUUUUUUUUUCUUUUCUUUUUUUUUGGUAUCUAAUCUUGAUUUGGGGUUUGGUUGUCUGAUGUUGAAGUCAGACAUUNNNNNNNNNNNNNNNNNNNNUUUUUCCUUUGAUCUGUUCGGCUCAGGCUUGAUCUGUGCUUGAAAUUAUUUUAAUUUUGGGUGGAGAUCAGGCCCUCUCCCCUUUCUUUCUUCUUUCCUCCCUUUUUUCUCUUUUCUUCUUUUUUUUCUUCUUUUUCUUUUUUUUUCUUUUCUUUUUUUUUGGAUCAAUCUUGAUUUGGGGUUUGGUUGUCUGAUGUUGAAGUCAGACAUUAGUGGCUUUGGCUCAAUGACGUCGACAAUAGGAAGCGAACAGGAUGAUCCUGCAGGUCACCUUGGAUUUUUUUGAGGUUAGCUUCAUGCGGUGGCUUUGGACGAAGGACAAACAGCAUGAUGGAGAAAUCAUCCGAAGUGGGAGCUUGUAAGUGACCUCGGUAUUGUCCAAGAUUAGAUGCGUGCAGAGGCCUUGGGCAAAGGAGAAAUAACCUGCAUGUUUGAGUCGGCCGAAGUCCCUGCAUGUGCACGAAAGUGUUGGGGAACUCUGGCCAUUCGACCUUGAUCUCGGUGUGUGAUGGAGAAGCCUGAGCCGCCAGCUCGAAGGGGCUCACCACCGAGAGGCGUACAAGAGUGUGGGGAUCUGGCGGUGUUUAACAUUGGGCAGGCGUGCGGGAGACUAUGGUGACCGCCGACUUGAUGGAACUCGAUGAUGGGAGGCAUAUGGCAGCAUGAGGUCAUCGAUCUGAUCGGUUUGAUGCUGGAGAUGUGCGCAGAUACAAGGAGCGGAGCCGGAGACAUCGAGGCCGUUGAUCCAAUAGAGUUUGGUGCCAGGAGGCCUCGGUCCGACGAGGUCUAGCACCAAGAAUGCCUACAGCAGAGGGAGUUGACUCUCCCUUCUCUCUCUCUUUAGGUGGUGCACAAGGGCUUGAAAGAGCAUCGAUCUGUCAGGGUUGAGGUCGGAAGGCACACGAGAGCUCGGUGAACCCCGAUCUGUCGGAGUUGAUGUCGGAAGGCACACGGGAGCUCGAUGAACCCCUGAUCUACCGGAGUUGGCAUCGGAAGGCAUACGAGAGCUCGGUGAACCCCUGAUCUAUCGGAGUUGACGUUGGAAGGCACACGGGAGCUCGAUGAACCCUCGAUCUAUUGGGGUUGACGUCGGAAGGCACAUGGGAGCUCGGGCCAUCGAGGUGGAGAGCUUGGAUGCUGGAAAAGUACCAACCCAGCGGUGCUCAACAUUGGAAGAUCGUCGAUCUCCUGAUGUUAACGUCGGGAGUCGUACGGGCGUGCGGGAGGUCUCGGGCAGAGUAGACCGAUUUUCCUCUGUCCUCUUUCCCCUUUCUCCCUUUCAUAUUUUCUUUUCUUUUCUUUUCUUUCUUUUUUUUUAUCUUGCCAUGUCACCUGGAAGGUGACAUCGGUCGUGCUUGAGGCCAAAUGCACGAGGAUUUUCUCCUCUUUUUUUUUGUUACAUGUAGGAUAAUGUGUUAUGUUACCUAUAGGAUAAUGUGACGGGUAUCAUUGCACCUAUUUUAAUGCAGCAGAAUCAAAUCAAGUCCUAAAGUAGCCACUCACAGAAGACUGCUUGUAGGUGGCUUUGGCCGCAUUCGAGAUUAGGUGUGUGGAAAUUUUCUUCUUCUUCUUCUCUCUUUUUUUUUUCCAAAUGCCACGAUCUUCUAGUUUUCUCAAACAGAUAUCUCAUUUGGACAGACUUUUUUGUCCUCAUUUCGAUUUCUUCUCCAGCUCAAAUGCCCAAGAAGUUGUUGCCCUGAAGGAGAGGAAUAAAAUAAAAAAUAGGAUUUGAGAGUUUAUUAUCAUAAAGGUCAGGAGUUCUCUUUGAGGGUCUUGGAAAAAAAGAAAGCUAGAAGGGAUAUUUUUGCCCCCUCCCAUAAUGUCCUCGAGCAUCGAACUUUAUCCUUUAAUUUUCAGAAUUAAUAAAUAUUAUCAUCUCAUGGUAUGUGGGGGCUGCUUUCAUUAAUGUCAUGAGUUGACAACUUAAGGCAUAAUGUGGUAAAGUGCUGUGACCUAACAAGGCUUGAUAGAGGGAUCCAACCUCCUGUGGAAAAGAAUUCAAACGUUAAAGAAAACCUUACUAAGGGAUUUGUUGUCGGUACAUUGCUCUUUUAAAAAAAAACUUUUAUCUAUCUCCUAAUCUCCAUUGAAAUGGAGGUCAGACGGCUUCCAGCAUAUCUCCAAAGAGAGACAGUCAAGGUAUAGAGUUGCUUUGUGAUCUCUAAUCUAUCAUUUGUCUACAAAAAUUUUAAGCAGAGAUCCUUCCUCUAGCACCAAUCUGUUGCUGCGAUUCUCAAAAUCUCAAGUGAGGAGAUUAGAUUGAGCCAUGUUGGAAUGACUGUAGCAAUCCAAUUCAAGUCUUCUUUGAGAAAUCCUACAAAACAGUUAAAAAAUCGGAUGAAGAUCCUUCGGUUCUUGACCCUCCAAUACUUAAGUUAGUUUGACCUCAAAAACAGGAAGUGAAAAAAUGGAAGAAUAGAGAGUAGGAGGGUUGGUGAGGAGCUAUAGAGUUUAUGACUUCAUGAGAGCUAGAGUUCCAGCUGCAAAGUCUCCUUUUAAUUUGAGCUCUAGUUUGAGCUUGAGACUUGAGAGUCUGAACUUACCUAGAAGAUCUCUUGGCCCACUAUUUAUAGAGGGACUGAUGAGAUCGUUGGAAGAGUUUGUUAGACCGUUAAAGCCUAGCUGUAGAGUUUGUUAGGUCGUUGAAGACCAGCUGUGAGUGAGCUAGAGCAUAACUGUAUAUAUUAGCUAAAAAUGAGGUCAUACUUAGUUGUAUGUGCCAGUUGGGGAUGAGUAGUAGCACCGCUGUAUGUGAGAUCGUGAUCAAUUAUAGCUUAGUUGUAGAGAUCAUGGUAGGCUUUAAUAGGAUGACUGUGGCCGUCAAUGUAAUAAUUCAUCUUGAUAAAAUAUCGAGAUGAAAUUAAGUAUCAUAUGAGAUCCUGAACAUCUCGAAAAUAUAUAAUACUUUGCUUCAGGUCGGUAUUUAUAUGAGUUGAAAUGAGUCAGGUCGGUAUUUAUAUGAUCUGAGAUGAGUCAAGUCGGUAUAUAUAUGAACUGAUCAUAAUCCUUCACUAGAAGUCAAUUCAGAUAAUUCAGGUUGGCUUUAUAUGAACUCGGCCUCCAAUUUAGAUUGGCUUCCUUUUGAGCUGUCUCUUGUUCAGAUCGGCUUUAUAUGACUCAGUCUCCAAUUCAGAUCGAAUUUAUAUGAACUCAGCUUCCAAUUCAGAUCGGAUUUUUAGUGACCUCGGUCUUCUAGUCAGAUCGAAUUUCUGAUGAUCUCAAAUUGAGGUGGGUUUUAUGAUGAGCUGAGAUGGAUAACCCCCCAUAACACUAUCCAAGUGAUAUUGUAGGCAUUAUUUAAAUUUAAAACAAUUAUUAACUCAGUCAUGUUAUGAUGUAUACAUUUGGAUUCAUCAUUUGAAGCCAUGUGAUGUAGUGAGAAGGGUUCAUACUAAGAAUUAAUGGACAGUCGUCUGAAAUUAAAUUUAAGAAGCGGAUCGUCCAACGACUGGUUGACUGUGGGCACGCCAACCAAGUCAAAGUUCCAACUCGUGCGUACGGGCUCCAGGUUUUAUUCCAUUCCUAUUUAUUUUUGAAACAAAAUCGAAGACCUAACACUCGCGGGCAUUUCAACCAUUCCACGGUCAACAUUCAAAGCCAAAGCCCCCCCGUCCCUCCUCUGAAGCUUGAACCCUUCCCCAACCGCAACACAAUUUUAAACUCCUCCACCUCCCAUUCUUCUCUGAAUUCCAAAUUCUGUGCUUCUCUCCCUCCCCCUCCUAACUCUGAAUCCACCUUCCUCUACCCUCCAUCAACCACCUCUAUCGCCAUGGCCUCGGUUCGGAGGGCCCUGCAAUCCGGCCUAAACAUUCCACUCAUCAAGCGAAAUCCCAAUGAGAAUCUCAACAUGGAGCUUUCCAUCCCAACCCAUUUCCGCUGCCCGAUAUCCCUCGAGCUCAUGAAAGACCCGGUGACGGCAUCGACGGGCAUCACCUACGAUCGCCAAAGCAUCGAGACGUGGAUCGAGCUCGGGAACCAGACGUGCCCGGUCACGAACCAAGCGCUGAAGAGCCAAGAUCUCAUCCCCAACCACUCCUUACGGAGGAUGAUCCAGGAUUGGUGCGUUGCAAACCGUUCCUCGGGCAUCGAGAGGAUACCCACGCCGCGGAUCCCCGCGACCCCAACACAGGUCUCGGAAUUGCUGUCCGAGAUUGCUUUAUCUAGCCGGGAGGGGGACCGUCGCCGGUGCCGUGAAUUGGUGGCAAAGAUCAAAGCCUUGGGGAUGGAGAGCGAGCGGAACCGGCUGUGCAUUGCGUCAUGUGGUUCGGGCCGCAUCCUGUCCAACUCUUUUCGCGAACUGGCCCGGGGAUCGACCGUCAACUCCACGACAGGAGUUAUGGAAGAGAUCCUGUCGGCAGUUGUUGGUUUAUUUCCUCUUGACAGCGAGGCCCAUCGGCACAUAGGAGCCCCCGAGUCUCUGGAAGCCAUCGUUUCCAUUCUGAAAACCGGGGACUUGGGAGGAAAGCUUAACGCGGUUUUGGUGCUAAAAGAGCUUGUUGCUUCCGUGGACGCGGAGCAAAUCAAUGUCGUGGCGGAGACCGAUGGAUUGAUCGAAGCACUGGUGAAGCUGGUCGAGAAGCCCAUUUCACCUCAAACCACGAAGGCCUCAUUGGUGGCCACCUUCUAUUUGGUUUCUUCUAGUGAGAGGACCGCGGAGAGAUUUGUGGAGAUGGGAUUGGUCUCUUUGCUUCUAGAGAUCCUCGUCGACUGGGAGAAGAGCAUGUAUGAGAAGGCUUUGGGGGUUCUCGAUGGUGUUCUUGAUUACAAGAGAGGCAGAGAGAUGGCUUAUGAUCAUUCUCUGACUGUGCCCGUUUUGGUUAAGAAGAUGUUUCGGGUCUCGGACAUGGCUACGGGGUUUGCAGUCUCGGCUCUCUGGAAGCUCUGCAUGAAUUAUAAGAAGGAAGGAGGGGACAGAGCAGGGGAAGGGUUCUUGGUGGAGGCUCUGGAAGUGGGGGCUUUCCAGAAGCUAUUGCUUCUACUGCAGGUGGGUUGCAAUGGGACAACCAAGGAGAAGGCAAGCGAACUGUUGAAGCUUUUGAAUGGCUCCAGGGAAAGGGUGGAAUGCAUUGAAACAGCGGAUUUUAAAGGGCUCAAGAGACCUUUUUAAUUGUUCAGGCGAUCAAUGGUAUAGGAAACGAAAGAGAACACAGUUUUUUUUUUGGCUCCAUUCUUUGUACAAAAAUGCAAAGAUUGCAACCCUCUCCCCCGCCCCGGAAAAAAAAAAAGAAAAAAAACAAGAAGAAGAAAAAAAACGAAACAAGAAUUUUUCAUCACUUGCUUCUACUUUCUGCUUUUUUAGUGAUUGCAUGGUUUCUAUAGCAUGCAAACAAUUGCUUGCCUUUUUACACCCAUAGCCACAACAAGUGUAAAUUAUUCAAAAAUUUAGUGAUCAUGAUGAACUUCACAUAGUGAUUCUACAAAAAUUUAGAAUUAUCCAAUCAUUCUUAAGUACUCAGUCAUUUAUUAAUAUUUUUGAUUUUUCAGGCUUAAAACAUAUACAUUUAGUAUUGUUUGCUGUUCUUCUUGUUGUCGUAUUUGUUAACAAUGUUGAUGCAAUUUAUCAUUAAUUGUUCAAAUUUAUAACUGCUGCUCCUGCUUUGGUUGUUCUUUGACCAUCGAAAUUAACUUGAAUUUAGGAUUUCAUUUUAUCAUCAAGGUGUUGGAAUCUUACCAAACUUAUCCUAGAACUUCUGAAUUACUCCAAAUAUUAGUUGUUCCCGCCUACUCUUUUCUUUAGAACUGAUGAGUUUACCCUUAGCUUGCUAAUAAGGCUACAUAUUUUAAUAAGAAUAGCACAAGAGGAAGGGAACCAAACAAUGCAAACAUCAACUGGAAUUGGCAUCUAAUGUCUAUGGAGGCUGACCAUUUAAUCUAUUUCUUAAUGUUCCAAUAUCUAUGGAGCCUUGAACUCAUCAAUCUCUGAGUAAUAUAUAUCACCAUGAAGAUUUGGAUCGCUAAACCAUUUGAGAUCUGAACACAGCUAGAUCUAUGAUGGUUCAUGUAACCAUUUUUGUCACAUCUGGCUUGUAAGCUGUAGAUAAGAUAUCAGCUCUCAUUAUUUUAGCCGACAAACAAACCUUUGUUGAGAUAUCAACCGUGCCAUGCUAAUUCCUAAAAGUUAAUAUUAGUGCACAGGAUGAUAGUCAGCAUCAAAUUUUACUGUCGUGGUUGAAAUUUUAAAAACUUGGGUUGUUAAUUUCGUCAGCCUUACAAUUCAACUAAGAUAGAAUUCCCUUAAAAUAAAAAAUAAAAAACAAAGCAAUCAAGAUAUAUAAAUGGAUCUUGGUUCAUCUCAAUAUCAGUGAGCGCAAUGUGAAGGUUGGGAUAUUAAUUAUUCCAAAACCUCUUAUCUAACAAGUAAUUUGAUCGAUCUGACCCCUCAACCAAUCUAGGCCUAGAUUUAGGAUGACGAGCAACACGUAGAAUAACAAGCAAUGUUUGAUGUGGAGGAUCCACAAAACCUUUCCCAAAUGGUUGGGAAGGGGUGCAUGGUUAAGUUUAUGGUUGUGAGUUUUAGAACUAUUUUCUAAUAUGGCCUAGAUUAUCAUUAUUAUUAAUUAGGAUCUCGGAAGAACUUUGUUUUGAUAAAACCUAAACCAUCCUUAAAAACUUUUCCAAUCAAGUUAGGACGUAAUUCCUAAUUACAUAUGGAAGGAAACAGGGAUCUUGAUGGAAAUAUGAUAACGAAGGAUGGAGAUACAAUAACAACUAUUUGAAAGGUGGCCUAAUGAAACAGAUCCCAGCAGUUGUCUCGUUGCAGUAGGAAGGUGAGCAAACAAAAGAUCAGAUCACCAUGCACACAUUCAGCUACAGCUUGGAAACAAACGCACCCCAUUUUCUUAUAGGACAGGGAUUUUAUCUUUCGUGCUAAAGAAAGAUGAAUCCCCACGUAGUUCCCAGAGCACUCCAAACUCCAUCGUUCAUCCUCCUCUAUUUAUCUCAAAGUGACCAUUGGGUAAUCCAAUGUGGAUGCAUGUGAGAAGCCCUAUCCUUCUUAGAAUACACAUCAGAUUUAGUAGUGUUUCUAGAUUCGGUGCUUUUCUUUGUGGAUACUUUGGGAUCAGAGCUUGUCACGUUGUCCGCCAUGUUAGUUUUUGUCAGCAUUCAGCAAGUUGGUUGGCGCCUGAUCCUUUAGACCAUCCACCUGGAUCCGACUCUUACCGAAGAGCAGAAACGGAAACCAUCGGAUCCAACCCGUGCUGUCAGGUAGACUUUUCCAGUCCAAUACAAGCCGGCAUCAUUUCGGGUUCAUGCCCAUGGACCACGCCAAAAUACUUGCGACUUGACAUUAUAAUUCACAGUAGAUGGUGUCUCCACCGAUAAAAUUGAAUUAGUCUAUUUGUUGAUUUCAGCGAGGCAAGACUGACUUGGUCGCGGCCUCUCUGGUCCGCAAACGACUGUGUAUUGCCUUCUUAAAUUAAAUACUCAUAUAUAGCAAUGUUGAAGGAGACGACUCGUAGUUCUCUGUUUUGAAUUUAGCAAAUGGUUGGAAGGAGACCAAUUCCAGCAACCAAACGAGUUUGCCACCCACAAGAGGGCAACGCGACGGGGAUGAAGGGUAGGCCCCAGCACCGACAGGAAUUUCUGGUAGCUGGGGUUCGGGUUGCAUUGUGAGAAAGAUUGAUUGUUCUUCUUUCGCAACGUCAGCUAUGACAUCUUGUAUAGGCCUCCAAAUGUUCCAAAUACCUUUUUACCCAUUCAUACGAAUUUUGAAACGGCUAUUGUACGAUGCAACAGUUGAUAUCAUGAAAAAAAAAAACGAAUCAUUUAUCCGCGCAUGCAUCCAACUCAAAUCUGACACUAAAUAUAUAUGCCCCGUAUAAGUUACGCAUACCAAAAAAAAAAAAGGUUCUUUCCUCCCCCUUUUGUUUUUUUUUAUUGUUUUCUACCCAAUAAUUUUGAGACCUGGCAUACCAAAAAAAAAAAUCUAUUUAUUUGUCUAUUUCAGAAAUUUAAUAACUAGAUUCUCAGCCCAAUAUUCAAAGGACUGUUUGCAUGGUAAUAUCAAAAUCCCGUUUUGUUGCUUUUCAUUGUACUUGAUUUGGAAAACACGGUAGCUCAUAAAGCUUAAUAAAGAAAUUUAUAAAACUAAGAUCUCCCUUGUUUUCAUGCCCAAAAGCAGAUAUUACUUUCUGUUUUGCAAAUCUUAUAGGUAAUCAAGUAAAGUGCUAAAGUUGAUUUAGGGCAAGAUCAGGAGCCCAAAGUUCUAAUUGAAGUCAAGGCCCAACUUAGGUACAUACCAUGAACUUAGGUUUCAGAAAUCCUGGUUUCAGAAUAAUGAAAAUGUUGGAACUCAUAGAAAAAACUUCAUGAACAUAACUAUAACCAUCUAGAUGCAUUCCAAAUAUAUUUAUGCAUCUCUUUUGCCCAAUCAUUCAAAUUAGGGUUAUAAAACAAGCUUCACUAUCUCGGUCCGAGCACACAUAUGAUACAUGCAUCCGGAACAAAUGUCCUUAUCUUCAAGUAACAAAGCAAUCUUAAAAAUGAUAGGAGAGGCAAAUCUGAAAUCUCCGCGCCCCCCCCACCCCACACAAAAAAAAAAAAAUUGUUUCUAUUUUUGUAAUGUUAUGUUAAUUGAAAAAAAUGCUAGAAGAAUUCCAUUCAAGUCUCUAUUUAUAUUUUCUUGUUUCAUAAUUGAAACUGAUUGGAUUAUUAUGGUAAGGGAGAGUCUUUAAAAAAGAAAGCUUGUAAUUAUUUCACAAAUUUUGAGAGUGUUACUGUGACUUUCCUAUGAUGACUUAGAAAACAAGGUGACACACUUUUCAUAUUCUUUCAAUUGGGACGUUUCACGCCCUCUAUUUUCUUCCGACAUUUCAUAUCCUACUUUUCAUAUUCUUUCCAUCUAAUUAGUACACUUCAACAAAACCAUGCCAAUCAACCUAUUCGUAGCAAAAUAUUUACCUAACCCAUCAUCAAUAUUUUAAAAGAAAUUGGCAAACUUGAGAAAGUAUUUCAUCACAUGUGAUUGAUGAUAAUGAUGAAAGCAAUGAGAGUGAAACUAGAGCCGAGGAAGGAAUUGAAGUAAAUGAUGGUGGAGUGAAUGUUUCCGGUGGAAAUGAAGUUCCAAAUCUUGGCAUGAAUUGGAGUGCAUGGGGCAGGAGUAACCAGUAGUAUAAUGAAAAUGCAUAAAGAUAAAUCAAUUGAUCUAUGCUUGUUUUAGAAUUUGAAAGCUUUCAUGUUCUGGGUGUUGGAAUUUGGAAAAGCUUAGACUUUGUUUGUUAGUGUCUUAGAAUAUACUGCCUUGUUGUUAUUUUAAUGCUUGUAAACUUUUAAAACUUGACAAGUCUUUGGAGACUUGACCUUCUUGUCAUGGCUUAUGAAUGUAUCCUCUUAAUCUAUUUGAGUAAUGUAUAAUUACUUUAAUACAAUGUUCUAUUUAUUAUUAUUAUUUUUUAUUUUUAUGAAUAUUUUUAAUAAUUAAUUAUUGACACACAAGUUGGACUAGUGAUCUGAUGACCUAUUGCCUUUGCUGGGUUGACAUGUGGGUCAGCUUUAAUAACAUUACAUAAGAAUAUAAAAUCAUGCCAAAAUAUGAUUUAUCCAUAUAUUUUCAAGUUUCAUCCAUUUAAUAGAUGUAACAAAAACAAAAAAAAGAGGAAAUUACCUGGAUCAGACCUCUUAUUCACCUUUCUACUCUCUCUCUGUCUCUCUUUCUCUCCUACUCUUUUUUCCUCUCUUAUCUUGAAUUAGGAGGAUAAAAGGGCAUUGUGCCCUUUCUCCCUCAAUAAUUGAGCCCCAAAAUGGUAUGGGGCCCUUGUAGGACUGCUCAGAACCAAGCAGUUUGGCCUGAUAAGGAUUAGUUCACAUUGGUUUGAGUACAAACCUGUAUCGAGACCACAAACUAUCCAUGUUCAUGAUCGAUAUGGUAUAGCAUUGACCAAACUGGGCAGUUCGAUUUUGUACCAUAUACCUUAAUUCAAAUCAUAUUUAGAAUAUCUAGAAGCCAAGGUUCCAACCUUAUUAUUUUUAUUAUAUCUUGCUCUCAUCUUAGUCUUUUAACACAAAGUCACUUUCUUUUUUCUUUUUAUCCAUAAUGUUUUGUCUCUGGACAAGAAAAUAAGUUCUAUCCAUCAUCCAUUUUGGACAUCUAUUAUCAUUCAUUUAUGCAAUCUCUUUGACUCCUUGGUGGUUGAUUCAAUUUCUUAUCUAAUUUAAGAUACUUGUAACUUAACGUAGUUGAUCUUCAAAUACCGCAUCAGUCACUGAUCAUACCUGUCCUUGUUUAGUGAUACAUGCGGCUGCUAGCAGGCAUCAAAAGUUUUUAGGAGGCUUUAAUACCAAACGAUACAGCAGAAUAAUGUAGCCCUUGAAAAAUAAUUUUUGGAGAGAACAUAAAUAGUUAAAAAUUUCUUCAACUAAAUUUCAAUCCCGAAAGAAUUCAUAUUAGGAGCUUCAAAAGAAGAUAUUUCGUUACUUCAUUAGAUCACAUAUUCCCUACAUAGUGGCUUCAACCUGACAAAAGAAAUCAAAUUCAUUCAUAAACAAUUAAUUGCAAGCUUUUUGGCCUUUGAGGUAAGACAACAAAUAAUUCUCAAUUAAGGAUAAAUUAAUAUUUUCUUUGAUCCAAACAUAUGCUGAUAAUAAUGACUAUGAUAGGACAGGUCCAAGCAGAGCAUUGCUGGGAAGCACGGAAAUUUCAUAUCACAUGCCAUGCCUAUAUCCGAUAUGUAUCAGAUGUCGGUACUUGUCGGAUAUUUCUUAGAUACACAUCCAAUAUUGGUAUUAGAUAUUAUUUUUUUUAAAUUUAAAAAUUCGAACAUUUCUCGUCUACACUUUCUCGAUAUUGUCAAAAGUGUGGUUUUAUUUUUUUUUCAUGUUAACUUUUCAAUAGUGAAUGGUCAAUUUUGAAGUUUAUGAUCUUAAUAUUAGAAGUAAAGAAAGGGAAUAUGGAUUUGAAUCAUGACCGAAGGACGAGCUUGUAAAAAUUGAUGCUAUGAUGCAAGUAUGGACUACAUUAUUUUUGAUAGCCCACUAUUGUUUUUGAAUUUUUCUUUUACAUACAUGCGUACAUAUAUAUGUUUGCACAUUUAUGCCUGUAUCUAUUGUAUAGGAAUGCAUAUAUGAUAUAUAUAAUCAUUAAUACAUUGUAGCCGCAUUGCAUCAUACUUUGUAAAAGUUGAUGCUAUGAUGCAAGUAUGGACUACAUUAUUUUUGAUAGCCCACUAUUGUUUUUGGAUCUUUUUUUUACAUACAUGUGUACAUAUAUAUAUGUUUGCACAUUUAUGCCGGUAACUAUUGUAUAGGAAUGCAUAUAUGAUAUAUAUAAUCAUUAAUGCAUUGUAGCCGUAUUAUAUCCUACUUUUUCAAGAUUUGUCAUAUCCAUGUAGGGCUGGAGGUGGGCUGGGCCGGGUUGGACCAUAUUCUUGUCCGAGUCUAAUCCAAAAAAUUUUUUAGGUUUUGGGCUAGGCUUAGGCCCAAAAAUUUUUGAAAAACUCAAGCCCGAGUCCAGUUGGAUCAGUCCAAUCAGAUUUAUAUAUUUUCUUUACGGACUUACGUCUUAUCAUCGAUUUCUCUAUUGAUAGCCCCCUUCCCUCUUACCUCACCCUCUCCCUUCCCUAGUGUGACCCUUCCUUAGUCGUCUCGCUCUCCCUUUUGCUGCCCUCCACCUCUGCCUCUGCCUCUGCCCAUGCCCAUAUUCUCUCCUCUCGCUUCCGAUCCCUCUGACUUGCUCCGUUUCCGAGUUUGAUUCCAGUGAGAUGUCGGUCCCGUCGUGCUUGGCAUCGAUCUGGCCCCGCUCCUCGAUGGCGCUAGCAGUUCCUCCGCUACUGCAGCGGUGCAGUACAUCUGCUUGCAGUUUGAUAAGCUGGUGCUCCAACUUAUCGACGCCACCCUUGCCAUCAACACCACCUACUUUUUCUCCACCUACCUCAUCUUCACCAUGCUUUGCAUCGGAUCUGUCCGGGCUAAGAAUACUAUGAACAUCAUGCUCACCAAUGUCCUCAAUGCCGGCGCCGGCACCCUCUUCUACUAUCUCUUCGGCUUUGCCUUUGGGGCCCCCUCUAAUGGUUUCAUCGGUCGCCACUUCUUCAGCCUCAAGCACAUCCCCCAGUCGGGCUUCAACCACUACUUCCUCUUCCAGUGGGCCUUCGCCAUCGCCGCCAUCGGGAUCACUUUCAGCUCCAUCACCGCACGCACUCAAUUCAUCGCCUAUCUCAUCUACUUGUUACUCACCGGCUUUUGAUCGUCUUCCACUGAUUUUGAUCCAGCAACGGCUAGGCAUGCCCCUCCAGACCGGUCGACAAGUCCCUCUUCCGUUUUGACGUCAUGAACUUCGUCGGAUCCAGCAUCGUCCACCUCGUCGGCGGUGUCGCGGGCCUUUGGGGCACCCUUAUCGAGGGCCCCUGCGUCAGGUGCUUCGACCACACCGGCCGAUCCUUGGCGCUCUGCGGCCACUCCGCCUCCCCAGUCGUCCUCGGCACCUUCCUCUUCUGAUUCGGCUGGUACGGCUUCAACCUGGGUUCCUUCGUCAACAUCAACAAAUCUUACGGCUCGAUCGGCUGCAACUUCAGGUCAGACUUCGAGCUAUGCCAGAAACCAUUUAAGUCGGAUUUGGGCCUAAUUAUAGGAUCCACUUAUCUUUCGGAUCGGGCUCGAGUAUACUUUUGGCCUGGUCUGGCCCGGACUUAAGCCUAAAGCCAGGCCCAAUCAAAAGCCCGAAGCCCCUCUAAGUAUUGCAUGCACCAGGUGCAAUUGGAUGCGAUCGGGCCAUAGGACUUGUCGAUGUUGAUGAAGGAACCUAAGUUGAAGCCGAACCAAAGGAGGAAGGUGUCGAGGAUGACAGGGGAGGGGGAGUGGCCGCGGAGCAUCAGGGAUUGACCGAUGUGGUUGAAGCGUCCGAUGCGGGGGCCCUCAAUGAGGGUGCUCCAAAGGCUAGCGACGCCACCACCGAAGUUGAUGACGUCAGAUCCGGCAAAGUUGAUGACGUCGGAACGGAAGAGGAGAGAGUCGCCGACCGGUCUGGAGGGGGAUGCCCAGCUGUUGCAGGACCAAAACCAGUGGGAGAUAAUCAGGUAGAUGAAGCCAGUGAGAAAGGAGUAAAUAAGGAGUAAAUAAGGUAGGCCAACAUCUCGCUGGAAUCGGACUCGAGAAUGGAGCAAGUCAGAAGGAUUGAAAGCAGGAGAGAAUAUGGGCGAAGGCGGAGGGUGGUGGGAGGGGGAGCGGGACGACCAGGGAAGGGUCGCGCUGGGGAAGGGAGAGGGUCAGGUAAGAGGGGAGGGGGCUAUCAACAGAGGAAUCGAAUUCUUGAAGUAUUAUCAUGGCUAUUUGGGAAGUGGAACAUGUCGGCUCCUAGAAUUUUUGAAGGGAAACUCAGAUUCUUUCUUCUGCCCCCAAGUCAUGUAACACCUGCUAUAAGUCUGUUCCUUGAAUUGAUGAAUUAUGCUCAUUCAGUAAGCAUCACACUACCAAUGUUGCUUGAUUAAGAUUGUAUUUAGAAGUCAAAAAGUAGAUAUACAAAUUAUUGGUUCUAAAUUUAACCUUCUGUCAAAAUGCAUUCAAUAAAAGUUGGCUAACAACCGACUGACAGGAUAACCAUGUAUUGCUGGUUUAUUAUCCUGGAUAAUGAUUGAGAUAAAAUGAGGAACAUUUAGCAAGUGAAGUGCCAUGAAACAUGGGAUAACUCAGUUUUGUUUCUCACAAGAAGGCUGUGAUGGACCAGCAAAUAUCACUAUUGCUGCUGCCACUCUGUCCUGUACCUCCAGUAUCAUUUGAGCUGCUUACUGAUCCAACUCCAACCUUGGAAGGUUCGCUACAGCCAGCAAAAUAUUACAGCAUAAAGUAGUUGGCAUUAUCUAAUUUUAUCAAUAGAUUUCCAAUAGCACACCAGUAGAGAAUUCAUGACAUUGCAUAUGAAUAAAUGUAGACACCUAUGUUGGACAAGGUUGCAUAAACUGUAACUCAGAACUGAUCCAGGGGCUGAUAAUUUACUGCAAGUCUUUCCAUGCAAUAAAAUUUUUGGUGGCUAGGCCUCCCUUCAAUCAAAAAGAUAAUUGAUUGCAAGUCACUGAUAAGAUGUAUUAAAACUUGAAUGUUUCAUACCCCAGCCCUUGAAAAGUUGAUAUUGAAUGGAUGAGAGGCGGUUCGUGGGUCGAUAAUCUACUGUCUCAAAUGUAUUAAGAGGCAAGAUCACACCUUUUAUCAAGGAGGAUAGCAAGUUGUAUUCUUGCAGAACGGGUAUCUAAAAGUACAUUAAGACUAAGGCAGUGUUCCUGGUGAUACAUUAAGACUAAGGCAGUGUUCCUUGUCACCAAGGACUUGUAUGACUAUGUCAACAAAUAAGAGUACCUCCUGGACUGUGUGGUUUAUGCAAAUUGAGAUUGGAUGACUUAUGCAAAAUACAGGUUAAAUAUUUUCAGGAUUUCUCUUUUGAAAAUUAUCUGUUUGCUUUGGAGGAUGAUCAAUGUGCAAUGCAUGUACCAUCAUACUAUAGAAAUUUUAUGUGGCCAGCUAGCUUAUGGUUUUAAACUUCUAGUUACUGGAACAGGGGGAAAAUUGUGAAAGUGCUUUUGAACAUAAGUGGAAGACAGAUGCAAAAAAUGUUAGGCAGAAUUUGAAUCUUAAUUCACAAGUGAAAAAUGUAUUCUUAGAACUGUGCUUUUUGCUUGUCCCAUGUUUAUACGAUAAUAGGUAUCAAGGCAUUGUAUUAGCGUUAGAUAUAUUAGAUGGACAAUUUAUGACUUCAGAAAGGCAGCUGAUAGAAUUGCCAAAUAGAGGUUUAUGGAAAAAGAUGAUGAUUAUAUCACAUAUAUCACAUGACACGUAUGGAGACAGAGAGGGAGAGAGAUGAGGAGAUCUUGAAACACGACGAGUUUGAGUUGUAAUACAUCAUAUGGCGUGCAUUAUUUUGACACUGAGAUAACAAACGAUGCCAUUCCAGGGAAGUAUAAUCACUCGAGCCGUGGAGGGGUUAAACAAACAUGCAGAGCUGGACAACUUGUUAAAAAAUCGGAUAGGAUGCAUGCAUAGAUUUCAAAAUUUUUUGAAUAGCAACGGAAAAUGAAUCGGAUUAAACCCUUUAACCUUACAUGCAUUAGAUCUCAUCUAAUCCUACCCAAGUCCAGGAAUAAAGACAUGCAUAUAAUCUGAAAAUAAAAUCAAAGAUGAGAUCAAAUCUCCAAACCUUUGUGCGGGUAAAAAUACACCACUUUCGAUGAUCUCAGAUUCGAAGGUCUUUAAGCUGCAUACAUGUCCGGUCUCUACAGGUAUCCACUGGGAUCAACCUUGAAUUCUUCUUCUCAUGAUAGAUCCUUCUUCUCCAAGUAGGAUCUUUAUCUUUUUUAACCUUAAUCAGCAAAUGAUCUUGACUGCAACUUCAAUCCUUGAACUGCAGCCUUCUUCUUCUUAUUCCUUGCUGUAGAAGAGAUCCUUCUUCUUUUUGGCGUAUGGAAGAUGGAUACCCAACUCUUGCGCAUAGGAAAGAGAAGAGGGAGAGAGGGUGAGGCGUGGAGAGGAGAGAGGAGAGUUUUGAUUUCUCAAAAUUCUAUAUAUUUUCAAACCCUAAGAGACUGUCUUUUUAUAUAGACCCUUACUUGAUCCAAAUCAAGAAUCAAUCAACUUAAAAAAGCUAGUCCUUAUCUCAUAAGGAUUUCUGCCUUUUUAAUCUGAUUAUUUUUCAUUAAAAUCAGACUUAAUUGGUAGGAUCUCAACCUCUUUUGACAAGUAUAUGGGGCGCCCCAAUCAGAUAAGGCAAACUGAGUAGGCACCCCUAAUAAUAGAGGACAGGUAGUUGGGGUGCCAAGACUUGGUGCCCCUUAAGGUUUUUCAUGCAUAAGAAAGGGGGCGUAGCCCCUCUCUCUCUCCUUUCAUGCCAAUGCAAGAGAAGGAGUGGGCCCCUCUCUCUUCCUCAUGCUAAUCCAAGAUUGGCGCACCUUGAAUUUUCCAAAAGAGAUGCAUGGCACUAUCUCUUCUUUCCUAUAAUUUCAUACUUAAUAUCAGAAAAUAAAUGAAAACAUAAUGAAGAGAUAAUUUAGCCAACUUAUUGACUUAAUCCAAUCAUCUUGGGCUCACAAUUAGGUGUCCAGCUAAAUCCUAAUGGAUUUAGGUUAUGUUCAAUACAAUGGACUUGAUCCAAUCGAAGUUCUGAGAAGAAUUAGGUUUAACCAUGUGCUAGCAUGGUUCUCUUAAACUCAAUAGAAUUUUAAUAAAUCCUAAUUCAAUUAGAACUUCAUAAGUCUAGUUGGUUAAUUCAAGAUUAAAUCCCUUAAUGUGUGAUCCCAUAGAUUUCAUUCUAUCUAGUAGUGAGAUAUAUUAUUAACUCCAUCAUAAUAUCAUUGAAACUCCUUUCGAUGGAUAGGAAUAAUUCCAAUUCUACCCUUCGAAGGUCAUCAAUUAUCAAGACGAUGCCCGAUGAGUCCCACAAUCCACCAGUGAUGCCUAGCAGUAUGUAGUGGUAAUCCAGUAGAAUGAAAGUGUGAAUCCUAGGUGUAGUUAUCAUAUAAUUCGGUCCUUCUAUCGUGAGUCCCGACUUGACGGAGGUCAUGGAGAACUCGUCAGACCCCAUCGUCAGUCAUAUGAAAGAUUGGCUGGACUCGAGUUCAUUUGUGAAUCCUGUGAAAACUCUUUUCUAGUAUUCACACUUGCUUUGGUCAAAGACUUUUUGAACUCAAAUUUCACAAAUCGCAUAGGACUUCUCUUUUUUUUAUCAAGAUCGAUAGAUUCUAUCUAGGUGCAUCCUACUCCAAAUAGCGAACCUGAAUUUACUGUAGCCAACAUGCAUAGCAAGGAUCUGAAUGGCUAGGGACCAAGGGAACGUGCAGUCAAACUCAGUAGCCUCGCUGCGAAUAGUCGAUGACACCGCAGGUCAAAGGACCACUCACACCACUGCAGCAUCAAAAAGAUCACUGAUGAGUGAAUAAACAUCUAAGUGGUUUCUCAUGUUGGUCACGUUUAGUGCAAGUUGUUCUCUAAUAACUAUCCGCACCUUCAUCCUAGUGUCUCUACACUGCAUACUCGAGACUCAUCUGUCCACAAAGGAGGUGAACUGUGCACCGAUCUCGAAUGGAUUGAUCACUAUCCUCCGUGACGAUCCUUUGAUCAGGAGCGUUUAGAAAUUAACCACUAAUUAAUGUAUGUCUUGAAUUCUCAACACUUUAAGAAUAUACAAAAAAUCAUUUUUGUUAAUUUUUAGGAUAAAUCAUGGACACAUAAACAUGAUUGGAAUAAAAAAGUCCUUUAUUGAUAAUAAAAUUUUUUUACAAGUACAAGAUUAAGCUCUAGAAUUAUAAAAUAUAUUAGCCAAUAAUUGGCUUCUAGGGCACAAAUCUAACACAACUAGCUUACAAAAUGCUAAAGGAGAUUUUUUUCCCCUCAAUUCACAAUGUUGACAAAGGAGGAAAAAAUUAUUCUGCUACUUAUAUAGAUUUUAGUAGCUGAAUGUAUCCUCCGUUUUUAUCCUUUGUUCUGUUUUCAUCUUUAUGUGAUGAAAAUGAAUCAAAGUUUUUGUAUGUGGACUGGCCAUUUAAUUUUAUCUGAGCAAUAACCUCGGAUUCAGAUUGGUAAAAUGGUAGACCUGUGCUGGUCAAGUGAGUCAAAAUGAAUCUUUGCAUUGUUGAUUUACAUAAGAAAGGCGCAAGCAAGCAACAUCUUUUUUACUGCUAUCUCUAUUUUAAAUAUGUUAAGCUGGUUCUUUCUUUGCAACCAUUUCAUCUUAGCUUUCAGUGAUGGCUGAAAUGCAAGGUACAUCGGAUUGUGAAAUUCCAGAAGGAUGGAAAUCAGGAUUUGCAAAUUUCAGCAUCUGACUUGUUAAGAAUGAGAGUUGGUAUGUGUCUAUAAAUACCUCUUUUGAGUAGGAUUACAUGUUGAAGAGUAUUCCUUCAGUGUAUUGCAAGCAUUGCGUAUAGGUGGAUAGAGAAAAGUCUGGCUGUUUUAUUAUUUAGUCAUGAAGCAAUGCCUUUGCUCUGCAUUCUUUUAAACCUUAAAUAUAUCUGCUUCUCAUCUAAUUUGAUAGUAAGUGAUCCAUGUAAGCAUCUAAAUCAGCUUUGUUAAUUUAUAUAUUUCUUGAAUAAUCUGUGGUGUACAGACUAAAGCCCCACUUAAAAACUGACCAUGGAUGCAAUUUUUGCAGAUUUGAAUGCUAGAACUGGAAAAAACAGCUCUUAAAGGUCAUUAAGAAUGAGGAAGCACUAAAGAAGUAUUGAUAAAAAUAAUAGAAUAACAAACGUUUGAAAUUUUGUUAUUUGCAAAUAGUGUUUGAAAAAUUAGAAUCAAGUGAGACUCAGGUGCGAUGAAACUAAUAUUAAUUUUGAUACAUUAUGGUGAGGAGAUAUGCUAGACUGAAGGGUGAUGGAAGUAUCAUGAAACAGAUCUUGAAGUCCGUGGGAGAUUGGAAGACAGAUGUAGAACAUGCUAGCUACUACUUAUGUCUAAGUAGUGCCCCCAAUUCCUAGAGCUGUUGGGACCAUUGACAAAUGUCAACAAAAGCGAUCUGGCAAAAAUUGCUCUCAUUGAGAGAAUUAUGAAAUCAUUCUUGUGAAAGAAGACACUUUAAGAUUCGGCUUCAUUUAAAGAUUUGAGAAAACUGACUUCCUUGAACUCAUGCGGGAAAAUCUGUUUCAAAGUUUCUUGUAGAUCUAAAUAAGGGGAACUUGACACCGGUAUGAAUAUGCUUGAUCCCGAAAUUGCUCUCCAACUUGUUUGACUUUAUCAGGGGAAGAGCUAAUUAAGGAAACUUUCAUAAUUAAGUCUUGUAUGCAUGUAGAAAAACAAAUUAUUAAAAAAUCAUGGAACAUAAAUAGGCACAGGCAGAACACUAGUAUGUAGUUAUCUAUCCUAUCUAAUUCAAGACUUGAUAAGAAAUCAGGAUUUUAUCUUAAUUUAGGGAUUGGAGGAUAAAACCUCUUACCAAGUAUCUUCUCACUUGGACUAUUGCUCUCCUUCAAAAUCAAAAUCAAUAAUCAGGAAGGGCAAUAAAUAUGGAAAACUUAUGAGAGAAGAAGAAUAUUGGUCAGGUAACAACAUUUGGCAGUCCAGAUGGGUCAGAUCUAGAUGACUUAAUUGGUAGAAGUUCAAGAGCCAUUGGUCCAUUUCUAUUUUUGUCUCAAACCCCUUUUUUUUUUUUUUUUUUUUAACUUUUUAAUUUCUCGAUUACAAUCGAAAACAUUCAUGUAUCCCAUGUGUAUCGCAUAUGCAUAAUACCAAUAAUGAAAACUUUUGGAAUCAGGCAUGUGAAAUUGAACUUGAAAAAGUAAACACAAGCAUGUGGUAGUGAUUUAAUUGUACCUAUUGUAUAUCUCAUUGUUUCUAUCUCGGAAGGGCAUGCAGGUGCAGUAAUUUGCAUUGCCGUUCUAGUUGUCCAUGGAUAAAUUACCAAUUCAUCACUUGUAAUGGAAAAGCAAACAAUAUUUAAUUACUAAUUUAAGAUUGAAAUAUUUCUAAAUAUCUCAAAAUCAAAAAAUCUUUUUCUAUAAAAAAAGGUUUGCAUACAUUCUUUUAAUGAUAUAGGAAUACUCCAGUCUCCAAGCCUCCCCUUAGUCAACUUGUCCUCUAUGUAUAUAUGGAUGGGCUAAUACUCGUUUUUUUCCCUUUUCUGGUGGACAAUGAUGAUGGCGGUUUUUUUUUUAAUUGGAUGCAACAGUGAUCAAGAUGAUGAUAAUUAACUUUCUGAUUCUAAAAGUAGUGCUUAAUCUAAAUGGAUGUAUAAGUCAAUGACACAUGCAUGUGCUAUCACAUAAAUUUUGGAGUUUUGUGGGUGUUAGAUGAGUUUUGGUGUGGAAUCAACAUAGCAAUUGACCAACCCGUGCAGUGCACAACACAUGUACUUGUCCUCCACUUAUACACAAAUAUAGAGUGUACAUCAUACGGUAACUACCAUAAAGUUUAUGCCUGAAGUUAGCAUUCCUCCUGCGCUGCAAGAAGAAUCCUUUGAAAUGCAUUUCAAUGCAGGUCUUUUAGGGAGAACUAGAUAUUGAAAGGAGCAAUACAUGAAUAAUCGUAUGAAUAAGGCAAUGCCAAAUAGUUCAAGAAAAAGGCAGUGCUAAAUACUAUUAUAGUGGCUUAUAUUGGCUUGUACAAACUCCCAUGACUUUUAUAUCUAUCAUGUCCUUUGGUUCCUCUUUCUUAUAGAGCAAGAUAUCAGACUAUCCGGCAUUAGUCAUUUUUGGCUGUCCUGCAAUAAUAAUUUUUCAUUAUGCUCAUUCAAUAAGCCAUCAUAGACAGGCAUGAAACCUUCAAUGAAAUAAAGCCAAAAUCCAUGAAUAGACUAGUUCCAAACAUUUACAUAUUUUGACAUAGAUAUUGUGGCAAGGAGUUAGUUGUUUCCAUUACUCAACUAGCAAUAUAUGAGGUUCUUUUAAUAUGUAAAGUAAGAUAAGCUUGUAUCUGCACAUGUGUGCAUGUGGAUGUCUUGUUGUUUGAUUUGAUAUUAAAAUGUGACUUGUUAUAUAAGACAUGACUUAUGUUCGAGAUUAUCAAAAUAUAGGAUUUUUUUCUUGACGAAAGAAAAUAUGGAAAUUGUACAAUAACUUCUCAUUACCUCGAAAUGAUUGUUGGAAAUCUAGAACUUUAUUAAUUUUGUUAUGAAGGUAAAUACAAUCAUAUUUGUUAAUUUUUUUUUAGUGGGCAAAAGUAACUAAAAUUAUAUUUAGUCGCAAAAAUAAUAAAAUUACAAGUGGCAAGAGUCCUUUCUUCUCAGAUGAGAGUGGGGUUUUUAUGGAAAAAAAGGUAUUUAUUAAUUUCAAGGUCAAAUAUUUUCAAAUUUUGCCUAGUUUCAACUAUAAAUAUUUUAAAAUGAAAAGAUGCAAUGAAAAUGGAGAUUAUCUAUUGGGUAGAAUUAGGAAUGGUAAUGAGUUGGGUAUAGAUUGGAUCGGCCAAUAUUUAUAUUUAUCUCGUAAUUAAAAAUCUUACACCCAUAUUAGCUCUGUAUUCGUCUUUGGUUGGAACGAGUAGAUGAGAGGGGUUAGAUCGGGUCUGUUAAAAAAUUUAUUAUACAAAUAUUAUAAAAUAAUUAUAACUUUGGAAGGAUGGAUUUAAAUUAAAAUUAUAUCAGAUCAGAUUCGAGGUGAGGUAGGGUAUAUCAUUAUUCAUAUUCAAUCCGAAUCUAUUUUGGAUAUUUUAUCUAGAAUCCAUUCUUGCUAUGAAUUUUGACUAGGUUUGGUUACAGCCUGCUCUAUUCGUGUUGGGUCGGAUCGGGUAUUUAGUAGGUCGGUUAUAAUUAUCAUUCCUAAAUGAAUAAGGUUAUUCUCCAUGUGCAUCCAGUUAAAAAGAAGUGCAAGGUGAUUUUUGUAAUCACAUCAAUUAGCGAAAUUGUGAGAUGAGUUUUCCACAAUAUAUCCCUAGUAUUUAUGUAUGUGCAUGAAAAUAUUCCAUCAUGUGCAAAUAUACUACUAUUUAUUUCUUUCUAUCUCUAAAACUUCAUUUAAUCAAGGGGUUAUUUUACUAGGGAAAUGAAUAUCCUGACUGAUGUUCAAAAAUUGUUGCUGGAUCAACUAUGACUCUUGCUUAUGCAUAGUCUUCUAUGUGCUCUAGGAUUUGAAGCACAUGUUAUGAAUUUAUGAUGAUUCUGGAAAAGUAUUUGGUUGUUCUUUGGAUGGCUUGUUCGCAAAUUAUUUUGUUGGAGAUAAAAUGAAUUUAUAGACAUGCGCAUACAUAUACACACACAUUACGUAUGUAUGCAGGUACACGCAAUCCAAGCUGCUUAAAUAUUGUUGACAUGUGUGAAUGGUUAACAAAAGAUUCGUGCACUUUCUGUUUAUGGUUUCAUCGAGCAACCUACCCAGCCUUCAUCCUCCAAUUACUUCCUUUUUUUUUGGUUUGACAAGGGUGGAUGGUUCAUACCUAUCUAUAUGAAUAUAUUCAACGGAAUCAGACAAUAAAACAUCACAAAACUAAAUAGAAAGAGUAUCACAAUACGUUCAUAAUAUAUUGACACGGUGCUCUGCAAUAUUGAAAAUUAUCCUGUCCGCAGCUCUAUUUGCCAGUUAUUUAUCCUUUUCAAGUUGGGAUGAUUGUACAAGGUUCUCAUAAAGUGCAAUUGUGUGGUAGUCAUCUAAAUAAAAAUCAAUAAAUUCAGCAAGAUACAUAGUUCUUGUUUGUUGCUCCUAACUUGUUUUUGCGAAAUAUUGCGCAACUGCAAGUUUAACAUGUAGUUUUGUGACAGAUGUAUUAUGAAAGAGAAGGCUUACUCUAUUACCAUCAAUUAUUAAUCAUACAUGCGUGGAGUGAGAGAUAGAUGUUUGCUGAUGGAUGAAAAGCUCUUGAAGCAAUGGAUAAGAGGAUACGCACACAUACACUAACAUACAUGCCAAUCAUAAGAAAAAGAAUAAUAAAGGGAUUAAAAUUGGAGAAUCCAACCAUGUGGCCACUGGGCUCGCGCAAAGGAACGAUCGUCUUUUGCGAUGUUGACCGGCGGCCUAUCUCAUUCCUCCAUCUGCACAGAUGUUAAAGCAAUCACCGACGCUGGAUUCGUGCGACGGCCGGGGUCCUUCGUUGGCGCCGAAAGAUACAACCCCUGGGCCCCACCUCCACACCCAACCCCCACACUCUUGUCCGCGUGUGAGCGUUUACGAGGAGAAAACUUUUCAGAACGAUCAUAAUUGUCAAGUUUAAAAAACUAAUGUAUGGAACAUAGAACAGAUGACUCAUCAACUUAAUUACUACUCGCUUCAUAAUAAAUCGCAUCAAUAGCUAUGAUGAAACCAUUCAAUAGAGAAAAAACCAUCAUGAAAUAAUACAAAAGGGAUGCCGAAGCUUCAAGAAAGAAAGAUACAAUAUAAUUUCAAAAGAAGCACAGCCGUAUAUCCGCAAGCACGGGUAGAGAAAGCUCAAGGUCAGCAGCAAGAUGGUCGUCGGUAAGUCUUUAGGCUCUUCUAAUGCUUUGUAAGGUAUUUUUCCUCCGCUGUAAUCUGGUCUCAGAGGGAUUAUGCAGCACUUUCUGUUCU